CCCCUGAUAUUAAAUCUAGUUGUGUCCAACUCUGUGGGUUGGUGCUUAUCUCCAUUUCUAAGAUGAAGAGCCAGCAUUGUCCAUAGACACCUCCAAGGUCAUGUGGCCGACAUGACUGCAUGGAUCACCAUUACCUUCCUGCCAGAGCAGUAUCUAUUGAUCUACUCACAUUUGCAUGUAUUCAAACUGCUAGGAAACCCAAUAGGUUUCCUAAGGAGUCAUAAGAUCCUAGUAUGGGAGAAAGCUGAACCCUAGGAACCACACAGUCAACAGGUGGCCAUCAGGCUUUUGCUUUAAAGCAGGCAUGGGCAAACUUGGACCUUCCCUCCUUCCCUACCGGCUGUUACAAAUUGUGAGAGUUGAAGUCCAAAACACCUGGAGGGCUGAAGUUGGCCCAUGCCUGCUUUCAAGCCUCCAGAGAAGGAGGCCCCACUGUCAACGAGAGAGAGAGAGAGAGAGAGAGAGAGAGAGAGAGAAGGAGAGAGAGAGAGAUGGGGGAGGGAGGGGAAGAGGAGCUGGCAGUCCUGCAGAAGGCUUUUUCCAGCCCCUUUGCCGGCUUUCCUUCAUGCAUAUAACAAAUAUUCACCUAAAAAUCCCAUGACAUGAAAUAGAAACGGAGGGCUGGAGCAUUCUCUCCUGAUGUUUCACCCAUAUCUAUAGCAGGCAUCCUCAGAGGUUGUGAGGUCUGUUGGAAACUAGGCAAGUGGAGUUUAUAUAUCUGUGGAAUGAUGUCCAGGGAAGGAGAAAGAACUCUUUUCUGCUUGAGGCAAGUGUGAACGUUGCAAUUGGCCAGCUUGAUUAGCAUUAAAUAGUCUUGCAGCUCCAAAGCCUGGCUGCUUCCUGCCUGGGGGAAUCCUUUGUUGGGGGGUGUUAGCUGUCCCUGAUUGUUUUGUGUCUAGAAUUCCUGUCUUCUGAGUGUUGUUCUUUAUUUACUUUAUUUAUUUAGAGGUUUUUUAAAAUACUGGUUGAUUAUUAUUUCCAAUAACCCCCACAAUUCCUAAUGUUGCCAUUGGCCACCUUGAUGAGCAUUGAAUAGCCUUGCAGAGGGCUCAGCUGGGAAGGGAAGGGAGGGGGCGGAGCAGGAUGCAUACAGAUGCACCCCUCAGGUAGGGGGCAGGGAAAGUGGUGCCAAACUGCCUCGGAGCCUGCAUGUAGAUGCACCUGAGGGGCACCAGGCAGUGGGAGGGCGGCUGGAUGGCAGGGGGAGGAGGGAAAGUGAGGCAGAGGUGGAGCGGGAGCCCCAGGAAGCUCCAGUUUUCCUGGAGGCCCUUGGUUACUGUUUAACCCCUCCCCCCUACUCACGUUUCAGCAGUAAAUGGAUCCGAUGAGUCCAGGGCCCCGGUUCUCUUGGCCCGGCAGCCAUUGAGUCCAGGGCUGCCCACUUCCCUCCAGGCAGAAGGCAAGGGGAAAGGGCCAGCGGUGCUUGCGGCCUUCCCUUCAAACAGGCCUCAUUUGCAGCCCUGGCCUCGAGUAGGGGCCACGGGGGCGGGGCCGCAUGGCACAGGGGCAGGCCAGGCUGCGUGGCCCCGCCCCUGCACGGCCCCGCCCCCAGCAGGAAGGCCUGGAAAGGAGGAAGAGGAAGUGGGGACUGGUGCCAUCCUCCCAGGACCUCAAUGGCACCCCCAGACGAUGGCGCCACAGGCAAAUGCCUCCCUUGCCUGGUGGGUGGACCAGCUCUGAAUACAACCUUAAAAUGUACUUUUAAAUAACUGAAAGAGAGCAGUCCCAAACAUUAAGCACUGUCUUAUGUGCCCACUUGAAACUCAAAAAUAGAUGAAGCUAACUUGAUUUCCUUUGGCAGAGAAAUAUGUCCAAUCCUGGUAAUCAGAAUAUAUUGUGGACUAUCUGUCUUCAUUUUUAGAAUGUAUGCCACAAGCCAAUUACAAAAUGUGUACAAGUGCUGAACUUGUGUGUACCACAACACAUAACACAAUCCUUUGUGCUUGGAGGAGAUAGCUGUUUGUUGUUCGCAUACUGAGCAAAGCUCCAUAGUGGGAAAGUAUUGAAGGAUAUAGCAUCAAACUGGAUGUUACGGAAGAUGUUUUUUUCCUCCCGCAGAGAGGCUUUCUCAGAGAAAGAUGCUUCAACAAUCAGAUGUCCAAAUCAAGCUUUUAAUAUCUAACCAAACAACAGAAUAUUUAUUUAUUUACUGUAUUCAUACCCCGCUCUUCUCACCUCGGUGAGGACUCAGAGCAGCCUACAGAAAGUCACAAUUCGAUGCCUCACAAUAACACAAAACAUAUACAUUAAAACCAAAAAGUUAAAAACAUCUAAAUCUUAAAACCAGUUAUUAAAACCACACAAUCGAAAAGCAUAGUCCAGGAGCCAUUCUAGUUGUAAAUUGCACUAUUUCGUAUUCACUUAUUGCUCUGAGAAUUACUGUCCAAAGGUUUGGUCCCACAUCCACAUUUUUAAUUUCUUUCUAAAGUUCAGGAGGAAGGGAGCUGAUCUAAUUUUGCUAGGGAGGGACUUCCACAGCUGAAGGGUCACCACUGAGAAGGCCCUGUCUCUCAUCCUCACCAGUUGCUCCUGCAAAAGAGGUGGGAUGAGAGCAGGGCCUCCGCAAACAAUCUUAACCUCUGAGAUGGUUCAUAGAGGGAGAUAGAUGAAGAGUUCCUUGUUCUGUGACAAGGAGAUGGAGGAGUACCUCUGCAAAUACAGUUGGCCCUGCACACUUGAAAGAUUGACCUUUGCAGCUUUAUUUGCAGAUUUGAUUAAAAUAUUAUCCCCAAUAAUCUUUUAGACCUCCAGUGUUAUGUUAUGGUCUAUUUUUGACAGUAGAUUGACUGUAGAUCAUGCUGGAGGACCUGGGGAUUCCUAGGGAGGUGUUCUCUCAGGUGAAAAAAAUAGCAUUUUUAUUUACAUUUAUUCCACUUUCACAGGGCUCCUGUGCCCCUAGCCCCAAUGAAUGUGGAGGCCUGUCUGUAACAUGUUAAACAUUCAACCUAGUUUCAUCCAUACAUUAUCUUGCUCCAGGUGUUCCAUUAAAAUCCUUUACCUUUGCAAUGGUGUCCUGGUAGUUGCCCAAGAUCUAAGCAGAGCUUGGACAUGUCCUUUUUUCCAUCUGGGAGAUCCUGACAGUGGUAAUUUAAAAUGGGGGAGGGGCAUAUUUUCUGGCUUUAAAUAUGCUCAGGGUAAUUUUUGAAGCUCAAAGAUUAUGAAAAACCAGGGGAACAAAAAAAAAUAGUUGAAAGAAGUAACAGCUGUGUGGCACCUGGAGGAGAAGCAUUAGGUGUUGUAAAAUUUUAUUGCACAUCUCUUGUAUGUUUCAUUUCUGCAUAGAAAAAUCCAUUACUUGUAUAUAUUAUUUCAAAAUAGCAAAGCCUGUCAUUUUGAGUUUUUUAAAUGAAGCUUCUGUGGCUUUUGGUCCCACUUGAUUAUGUAGUAAAGGGUGAAUUAGUGUGAGAAGUGCCAGUUGGUACUGUUUCUUUUCUUCAGUGGCAUAAUAGCCCUUUGGCUAAAACCUGACAUAUUUCUGGUUGAUUAGACAACCUUCAUUGGUCUAGUGUCUUGCUAUAAUUCUGCUUUGGCUGUUAAUAUUUUCUGACACUUACUGCUGUCACAUAGUGCUGUUAAAAGGCUAAUUAUCUAAUCACCUGUUGGCCUGAAGCAAUAACACAUCUUUUGAAGUUGUAUUGUUAUACUUCCACAGGGGAUUUUAUCUCGGCACACCUCUAAAAGGCUGUGGACGGGUUCAUCCGCAGUGCCUGCUACCCAUUUACUUUAGUAAAAGGGACAUAUCCUUACUGACAUGGAAAAGCCAGUUUAUUUAGUUCAGAUAGGUCAGGCUCCCAUAAUAACAUUGGAUAAAUAAUAAUCCAUUUAUCAAUGUUUGUUUUCAAGUCAUUUCUGCUGCAUCCUGAUCAGCAGGGGAAUAGAUCCCCAUUGCUCACAGUGGCUGCUGUCCAGUCUUUGGAAGGAAACAAUACUUAGCUGUUCAACACAGGCUCCUUCUACAGUGCCCUAUAUCCCAGGAUCUGAUCCCAGAUUUAAACUGGAUUAUAUGAGUCUCCACUGCCAUCUAAUCUGAGAUCAGAUCCUGGGAUAUAGGAGCAAUGUGCAAGGGCACCCAGAUAGUUACAUAAUUAAAUAGCAUAUUGUAGAAUUCUGGCUAUCACAUGUAUUUUUUGUUGCAUUAGGGCAUUUUAUAACAGUUGAGCAGAAGAUAGAUGUGAAUCUCUGGUACAUAUCUCAAAUGAUUUUCAGAAGCUCAGAAAGAAGUCUAGACUUCUUUCUGAAGUAGCAGGAACAUAUUGGCAGCACUUAUCCCGCCCCCUUCCAUCCUGUAUUUUGGGGAAAUGAAGAAAGCAAUCUGUUCUAUUAUUUUUGAAAAAUAAUAAAUAAAAGGUUAAAUUUAAAAAGCUGUACCUAUUAUAUUGUCUGACCUAAUGGCAAAGGGAGUUUGGAGCUGAUUUACUUAGUACAGUGGACCCUCAGUAUCCAUUGAGAUUUGGUACCAGAACCUCCCAUAGAUCCAAAAUCCAAGGAGGCUCAGGUCCCAUUAUAUGCAAUAGCAUAGUAAAAUAGUGUGUUAUACCCCAGCCACCUUUGGGUUUUGAACUUGAUUCCAAAAUGAACUUUGACCAGGAUGAAGCUUAUUCUGACUUUUUACCUAGUUUGCAGAGCUCCUUUCAAUUACAGACCCCAGCUGUGGAUAGCUCUGAUGCUUCCUUAAUUGGGAGAGAUACUGAAAACAUUACUCCCAUGGUAGAACCAGAUGUCCCGAGUUCCCCAGGGAAUGUAUCCUUUAACAGAAGGGAGUUUCUGCAUUGCCAGAGAUUAGAAAAACAAGGGCUUUGAAGGAGUCAAUGUUUGGCAUCUAGAGGGGAUAAUGGAUAGGAGAUUCUCUUGGGAGCCUUUGAGGAGUUUGGUUUCCCUUCGCUGUGAUUAGAUCUAAGUUCCAUAAAAGUGUCCUACACUGUGAAUAAUUUGCGGUGUCAACAUAACGAUUUCCUGAGAACACUUCACCGACUCCAGUUCCCUGAUUUCACCAAGCCAAGUCUCCUGUUCCUGGCGGCCAAGCCGAGCCGCGACUCCCAAUUUAAACCGGAGUUAAUUCACGUCCUUGCCUUGUUCCUGAAUCCAGAUUGCUUUUAGCUUUGUCUUGUUCCUGCCUUGAUAUCAAAGACUUCCUAGUGACUUUGGACCUUGUUAUUCACUCUUGCUUUCCUGUUGUUUCUCCGCUCAAGAACUUCCCAACAGUUUUGAGCAUGUUUCGGUUUCUGGACUUUGGACAAUAAUAUUGGACAUAUCACUUCAACUCUUUGGACUAAUUCAUACCUCAUCAUAAAGGACUAUUGCUCACUCAUCUUUUCCACUUUUUCAUUCCUGAAUUUAUAAUUGUUUUAAUAAAGGUAUUAUAUGAUUAUUGGUCUCUGUUUGGUUUCCAGUGCUCACGCUGCCUUGAGGUGCAACAUAAUGUUUCUUAUAUAAAAUGGCAAACAACUCAGAGAAAUGCUGUACAGAACCUGAGGAUCUCUGCAAUGGAUGGAAACUCCAGAAGGAUAUGCAUUCGCAUCAUGUUUUGCUUUUUGGAGUUUUUUUGGAUUGAUUGAAUCCUUGCAUACAGAAUAUAGGACUUGCUGUUCUAUAGCCGACUGCUUUUUUCAAGUAACCUUUCUAGUUUUUGUCCUGUGAGUUUCAAUCACUACUUUUCUUGUCCAUGUUUUGUAGAGAUUGUGCUUCUAUUUCAUUCCGAGCAAAAUGGCCUAAUGUUCACAGUCUCAAAAGAGACAGAAGCGCUGGAAGAAGCACAGCUAGAGGAUGGCAAGAAGAUUUAGUGAUAUAGGCAACUUUCCUCCCUAAAACGUGAAUAACAGAUUUUGACAGAGCCUGCUCCAGAAGACCCUUAUAGCUAAUGAUAGCUUCUGAUAGUUGAUGGCCAUUGCCAGAUCAUUGCCAGAUCAGUAAGUUCCAUAAUUUAACUACAUAUCCCAAAGUAGUUUUGGGGUAGCAUCCUUUUGAGCUACUGGUGGAGCAUAGAUAUCUGCUGGAGAAUAUGCAUUAGCAUUCAAGGAUGAAGGGCGCUGUUUCUUUCCUGGGUAUGCAUGCACAGCUUGGAUAUGAUCCAAGAAAUCUUUUGUCAUCAGUUCAGGGCUGGAGAACAGAGAUUCAUCCAGGAAACUCCAACUGUCAUUCCAUACCUGGGGCAAAGACACUGCACAAAGAUAGUUCCCUGUGACCCUAACUUUAAAAGUAGUUAAUACCGGCACAACUAGAGGUUAUACCUUUGUAAACCACUGGCAGGAUUAUUGUUAUUUCUUUGCUUGUUCAAUAGUCUGUGUAUUUUCAUCAGAAAAGGUGAAAUGGGUAGGAACUUCCAACUUAUGUUUUCCUUAUUGGGGUGAGUGGGCAGGUAAUAUAGAAAGAUGAGGUUGUACAUCCUAUUAGGAAAUUUCACGUCCUUCUGAAGGGCCUUGGACCCACCGUCCCAACUGGAAAUAUUAAUGCAGUCCAUUUGCUUGCAUCAGUUGGAACAAUAUGUGGGGAUAUCUGAAUACAAUGUAUGUUUAUUGUUGUCUAAACUCAGCUUUGUUGAAUUUCUGGCUUGAGCAAUGCUCAAAUGCAACCAGUCAUUUGUGGAGAAAUGAAAUAUUUUCUGAACGUUAAAAAUAAUAAUACUGUCAGGGUUUUUAAAAUAUAUAUUAUAAAGCUACAGGAAUGAGAAGAUAUUGUUCUUCUCCCAUUCUCUUGGCAGAAAUACCCCAUUGGAUUCUGCCCAUUGUUAUGGGUUUAAGAACAUGAGCUCUUCUCAGUACUCAUAUAAAAUUAUAUAGACUGCAUAACUGGUGAGAUAAUGACACAGUAAUUUCACAAAUGCUUUCCUUCUCCCUCAUGGGCUUGUUUUUGCUUGAAAAUCAAUUAAGUGAUAAAAUAUGCAUCCCUUAAGUCACAAAACAGUUUGAUGUUAAUACCAGGUUUUCCUUUUUUCCAUCUGCGAUUACUGGUUUCUGUGUUACUCGUGAUUGCUAGAAAACUAAUCCUACCUUUCUGCAUUAUCUGUUUCAUAAUGGGGGCUUAAGCAGAAUGUAUAAUUAAGCCAAGCUUUGUCCGUCUCUAGAUAGCAAUUUUAAAUGUUGAAACAGGUUUGACUGAAAAUGCUGUAAUAGAAAUACAAUAUAACACACAUCUGCUCUUCUGGAAAUUAUUGCUUUGGACUGCAUUCUAUACGAACAAGUAUCUGAAGAGAAAGCAUAUCUAUCUGCACAAUGUAGUCUGUAGUAAGUUUAGUGAAAUAAAAAAGAAACAUCUUUCCAAUGCUAUACUUGAUGAAUUGGUCCUAAUCCAACUCUGGCACCAUCACAAUGCAAAUGUGUGCCAAAUUAACACAGUGUGGCUGGGCAACUGCAUUUAUUUUACUAUCAAGAUGAAUAUUUCCACAUUCUGAAGAGAAAGACUUGAACAUGUAUCUUUGUCUUUUAUUUGAAUUUAUGUCCAUUUCUAUGACUCAGAUUCAGAGGAAACUUGUUUGCGGAUCAUGUUUUGCUAAGAGUGACUAGUGGGUGUGGCUCAAUUGUAGAAUACAUGCUGAUGGUUCCAGUUUCAGUUCCUAGGAUCCCCACCAAAAACAUCAUCAUAUAGCAAGUAUUGCAGAUAACAUCUGCUCAGACCCUGGAAAGUCAUUGUCUUGUCUUGUCAAAGCAGAUAUUUUCCGUCUGUUAAAAAUUGGAAAGCAUAUCUGUAAUGUGGCACAGUAUUUACAAUUCUUGGGAGGACAGUAUUAUGAAAUGCCAAUCUCAAAGGCUUACAUUAUGCCAGUAUUCUGCGACAAAAUUUGACAUUAGGAGAAUAAAGUAUCCCAUCUGCUUAAAUGUAACUUAAAGGGAUUCAAAGACAUUUUAAAAUGUGAAGCAGCAGUUUAUUAGAACACAGAGAGUUGCUGUUUCAAAACUAUGAUUAUGGAUUAGAAAGGUCAGUUUUAGGACAGAAAUUCCCAGAAUUCUUCAGCUGCCACAACCAGUAACUUUCCAAGCCUUUGGAAGGACACAAAAAUUCUUCAAGCGUCAUGAUGUCACAUAGAGAGAGGAUUUGACCAUUCUUAGGCCCUGCUUAGUUACAAAACUAUGAUAGAUGAGACUGUCUAUCUCCAAGUUCAGGGAGUCAUACAAAAUAAAACCCAACCCAGUCCUAAACAUAUUCCAAGAUUUCUCAUUCCUUUGUCGACUUUCUUGCACCCUUUUCAUGACUUUCUGCUUCCAGUCUUGAUUUAUUUCUUCACUGCCAGAGUAAUUACAUUGUGCCUAAUUAGAUUUACAGUAUUGCUUUAUCACUUAAGCCAUGCAAAUGGGCAACACAAAUUUGAAAGGGGAAAAUGUAGUUGAAUACGUAUGUCACUUUGCAGUGCUGAAUGGGUUACAUUACUUUUCGAAAUCCCUUCUUUCCUGCCUGAAUCCCUUCUGCUUUCUACUUGCCUCCCUUGUACCAAUGGCUCCAUUGAUUUUAAUGCGCAGGAAACCCUUGGAGGGGAGAAAUAGGAAUGUAAGCCCCUGACAAUGUUUUAUCACUCCAUGGGUUUCUCAUUAGAUCACCCCUACAGUAUAAUCAGCUAUAAAUAGAGAUCUGCUAAUUUGAUGAAGAGGCUGUAGGUCUGCAGAUAAUUGAACAAAUACAUCACUGUUCCCCAAAGUAUGCAUACCCUCCUUCUCCUUUUGAAACUCUAGAGACAAGACUUGUGGGGAGAAGAUGAAAAAAGAGAACCCAGCUCAACAAUGAUGGAUUUUGUGUACAGCCCAGAAAACUGAGGAGGGGAGGGGGAUUAAAUCAACCCAUUUAGCAAGAUCUCCAUUGCAAAAGGCAAUUGUUCCAUUCAGGGUUCUCUUCUUAUUGAUGUUCUUUUUGUAGAAUGGCAGUGCCCGUUUGGUAGACUUUUUUGUAAAGGGCAACCAAUUAUUCUUGUUUUGUGCAGUGGCGUUCUGUUAAGAGUAACAAAAUCCAAUUCUCAGCCUAGAUUUUAAUUGUGUAAGAAUAGAUGACUUGUUCCAUUCCUCUUAUUCGUGCACGCAUAUGCAGAGAGAGCUAUACCACAGUCCUGCAGACCUUUGGUCCUGGGUUUUGCUAUUUGUUUUUGCACCACAUCCAGGGAUGCUGAGAACCAUGGAUUUAUUUCAUUUAUAGCAGUGGUUCUCAACCAGGGUCCCCAGAUGUUUUUAGUCUAAAACAUCUGGGGACCCCAGGUUGAGAACCACUGAUUUAUAGUCUUCUUCAUCCAACAUGUCUUUUGUCAGUAGAGCCAUAAAACCUGAAAUCACUUUAGGUCCUGGUCACACUGCACCAUUGUAACACUUAAUUGUCAUGGCUGCAACCUGCAGAAUCCUUGGAUGUUCAUUUUUGGGAGCAAUUUAGAGUGAUUUUGCUAGAGAGCUCUGGUGCCUCACCAGACUACAAAUCCUAGGAUUAUAUCUGAAUUCUUCUCCCUUUAGAAAUCCCCCUCCCUAAUUUUAUAGCUCCCAACAGGCACAAAUCAUGACAUUUUAGGCCACAGAAAACUAAAUGCACAUUUUCAGGAUGAGGACUACUUGGUUUAGUAUUUUUAAUUGGUUUAGUUUAGUUCAAUGCAAACGACCUUGGGAUUAUUGUUGAUGAUAAAUUAAAAAUGGUCCAGCAAUGAUGGUGCCGCAAAGAAAUUGCCCCUGCCUCUCCACUGCUACUAAUAACUGUAUACUAUGAAGGUUUAGAAGCUGUCUUAUAAGGAAGGCAUUUGAAUUCCUCCCAGUGAGCCAGUGGAAGAAACAAUUGUGCUCAAAAGGCUGGCAAGCCCUGAGUGGGAUUCCAGAGCUGGAGACUUUGUGCCUUUAAAGAAAAUGUAUCCGCAGUGAUAUCCGUUUCCAUGUUCUUUGUGAUUAAAGUGCUCUUGGUGAGCGUGCCACACUUCCAAUCAGCUACAAUUUGAAACAUUGCAGCCACAGCUGAACAUCUCUUGAAAGGCAUGACCAUGGAAAGCUGAGCAGAGAGAGGACUGCAGAGAAUGAUUAAACUGAACAGGAGGAAGGGCUACCAGAUAGCCCUUAUUUAUUGCAGUUAAUUUAUAUAUCAUGUUAGAGAGAGAUCCAUGCUUCCCAGAGUUUACAUUUAAAGCCUUCUCACCUAACUUAUAGAUACACUUCCACUUGUUCACUGUUCUUGGAAUAUCUUUUCUGGGGGAUAUUAAUCCUUGUAUUCUGACACAUGAAGUUGAAUUUAGUUGCGCUCCUAUGGUGAUUAUGUCUGAUAAGGCUGUGUUUUACUAGCAGUGCUCAAAGGCUUCUUGGGUUUGAAUGUUUCACCAAAUAAAUGGCUGUUGCUUUCACUUGGACAAAUGGGAAUGCAAUUAUCUGUUGGCUUACAUUUCUCGGAAUGUUGUGAUAUAUAGCUUUUUAAAAGGGCCAAAGUACAUACAGAAAUGAAUAUUUUAGGUUAAAGUUAAUAUUUCAAGAUGUAUCUGUUAUGAAAUGUGCUUUUAAAAGUCACAUGGCUUUUAAAAUACCUCUCAAAUUAGUACAGAAAUUGGAUGGAAUGCAAUGCUACACAGGUAAAAGGGACCUGGUGAAAAUAAUGUAUCAUUCUGUCCUGAUGAUUCUGUUGCCCACAGGGCCUUUUGUGCACUUCUCUCUGUGAUACGCAACAGACGUUGAUACGCAACAUUAUCAAGAUGUAAGCAUAACAAUUUGGCCACAUCAUGAAAAGACAGGAAAGCUUGGAAGGAGCCCCCGGUGGCGUAGUGGAUUAAAGCCUUGUAACUUGAAGGUUGGGUUGCUGAACUGAAGGCUUCCAGGUUCAAAUCCCACCCAAGGAGAGCGCGGAUGAGCUCCCUCUAUCAGCUCCAGCUCCAUGCGGAGACAUGAGAGAAGCCCCCACAAGGAUGGUAAAAACAUCAUAACAACAACCAAAACCCCUGGACAAUGUCCUCGCAGACGGCCAAUUCUCUCACACCAGAAGCGACUUGCAGUUUCUCAAGUCGCUCCUGAAACGGAAAAAAAAGGAAAUCUUGGAAAAGAUCAUGAUGCUGGGGAAAAAGGAAGGAAAAAGGAAGAGGGGCUGACCAAGGGCAAGAUGGAUGGAUGGUAUCCUUGAAGUGACUAGCUUGACCCUGAAGGAACGGGAGGCAGCGAAGGCCGACAAGAAGCUCUGGCGUAGUCUGGUCCACGAGGUCACAAAGAGUUGGAAACAACUGAAUGAAUAAGCAGCAGCAAGCAUAAAAAAUGUAACAUACAUUAAUGCAAACUAGUGAGAAGAUAGGAUAGCACCUCAUCAUCCAUUUUCAGGUACUUCCGGCAUGUUAAAAAGCAUAUAUCAAUGUGCCAUUGAAAUUGUAAAAAAAAAAGUGAAAACUGAUUAAAGAAAAAAUAAUUAUUGGAUAUUUUUUGGGUGGGGGGGGGGAAUUCAAGUGGCAUCUAGACAUUUCAAAAUGUCUUCGUUUACUUAUGCAAAGAAUACCUGACCUGUGUGUACCAUUAGCUUUGAAUAACCAGUUUCUUAGAACAUGUUGGAAUCAUUUUAUAGCAAUCUAUUGUCUCUUCUUUCCAUGUUAUUUUUACAUCUGGUACCAAAUUUUCUGUCGAGUAAUGCUAAGGAACACAUCGAUUUCUUUAAAGGAGGUAUACCUAUAUAUAGGAAUCUCUAAACAGUCAUAUGGAGUCAGGAAUGAACAGGAUUCAGGUUAACAAACUGAAGCUGUGAAUGUUGCUAACAUGUUGGUACUCAUAUUUGUUGACCUUCCUAACCAAAUAGAGUAUGCAACCAGUGCUGAGUUUCAUUCUUCCUUGAAGAAUAUGUUUGCAGCUUGAGGAUGCUCCUGGAUCCCAGUAUGGCUUAUAGAUUCUUAAGUGGCAUCUGCAGCUUGAAGCACCUUUGCACCACUUCACUUGAUUUGCCAGCUGGCCUCCCUUUUAGAAAAUAUUCUUUUCAAUGCAGCGAGUUAUCCAUGCUUUAGUAAUUUCAGGAUAUGGUUGCUAUUUCAGAAUAGCAACUUCAUAUGUAUGAAGAUAGUCUUCUUCCUCCUUGACCCAUUUAAAUCCCUUCUGGGAUUUUCUUGGCUUCAGCUACAGCAUCAAAGAAGAAACGCUGAAUUUGCUCCUUUGCCCCUACCUGUGUCUUCACUACUAUCCAGGUCUCUUCUUUGCUCAGUGUCUCCUAUUUGAGGCAGGUUGAUAAGAGAGCACCUUUAUCAAGCAGUGGGGUUGAGAAAAAUCAAAUGGAGGUGAGAAACUGACACCUUCUUCCCCAUCUUGGUUUGCACCAUCACGUACAGGUGGACAUAGCUCUGCAUGUCCCCUAUCCCUAGCUUCUUUCCCAGCAAGAGAUUGUCUCUAGAUGACAUUUAUAUGCACUCCCUUCCCUUCCUUUGCUUCCCCCACUCAAAAGUUGCCCAUAUGGAAACAUGGAGAUGUGGAGUGAAAUUCAUGAUUGGUAGGUUAUUGUAUAACUUGAAGAGAUGUUGUUCUGCCCUUCUUGUUUUACCAUCUUUCUGAUAAAUUGAUAUUCUUGUAUUAUCUCCUAUUGGCAAGGAUGGAGAGGGGAAUUGAUUUGUUAUCGUAUUUUCUGACUCUCUUGUUUUCUUUCCCGCCUGCCUCCUUGUCCUUCUCUUUCUUUGAUUGAUUGCCAGCCUGCUUCAAUUCUUCAUAAAAAGCAGCCAGACAAUCUUUAGAGUAAAAUUUCUACUUAAAAAUCAUUAGGUUUAUAUUCUAAGGGGGAAAAAAUCUGAAAUUAGGUGUCUCUGAGAAUAGCGUGUUGGCAGCCACUCCUGACUUAAAAUGCUGCUCCCUGCCUGGAUUGAUAUAAACAAUCCCUGCUUUGUGUUCAGACAUCAAGCUUAACACCAAAUGUGAGAACAGAAGUUGCCUUGAGCUGACUUAAGUGCAGUAAACAAGUUUUCCAAAGAAUAACGAUUCACUCGGAGCUUCCGGGAGUAGUUUCUGUGUGAGAGGGGCCUUGUGUGCACACUUUUUAAAGGCAGAACAAAAUGAGGUUUUCUGUUGCUUGUGUUGUUUUAGUAGCCCCUUGGAUAUGGUACAAGCACAUUACAUUUGCUGUGAAAAGAGCAGAAAUCUACUUUCAGCGUUUUCGUCUGUUGUUUUUCCUCCAGAAUGCAAGAAAAUAUCUUGGGAGACCUGAAUGUUUGCUUGCCAACUUGAUAACAGCUUGGUGCUUUUUUCCUUCUCUUUCUUUUUUCCUUUUUCUUUCUUUUGUCGCCUUUGUCAUGCAUAAAAUGUGAAUGCUGGAUUCAGAAUAUAAUAGAACUUAAUGAGAAUACAAAUUUGAAGGCUUUGUGGUUGAAAAGACUAAUAUACACCUUUUGCAAACGUGGCUUCAGUCUUUGGCAUGUAUGGUUCAAGAGAAUUUUGUUUGUCCUGGUGUUUGCAUUGUUUAGAGAUUGUUCUCUUCCUGGAACAUUCAGCACAGACAAUAUUGGGCACUUGAAGGAAGUGCAAAUUGAAAAUAAAUCACAUGAAAGAUAAGAGAUGAAAUUGAAUAAGCUCUUAUCUAAAGCUAACAUAAUGAAUGCCUGUUAUAUCUUUAGUACUAACCUUCAUAAAAUUUACCUACAUAAGACACUAGUGAGUUUGGACUUUUUUUUAACCUAUUAAGUUUUUAAGAGAACACUAAACAUAUUGGAUACAAAAGGCCAUCCAGUGCUGUAGAGUAUGGAAGGACAAAAUCAGGCACUCUGAAUUUUAUUGAGCUGUGGUUCUCAUCAGCCAGCAUAACCAAAAGAGAGGGUUGCCGAGCAAUGAAAUCUAGUGAAGCCUGGAUAACUAAACAUUGACUAACCUACUCCUGCUAUAGAAGUAUUGUAGUCAACAGGGUCAAUGUUAGGUCACGGGAUCAUGAAACCAUGGAAUUGGGGUCCACCUCCCAGCUGUGUAGGAAUCUACAACUGAAAUAUUCCAAAAAGGUGGCCAUACAACCUGGGGUUAAACAUCUCCAGAGAAGAGGAGUCUACCACUCUCUGAGGAGCUCUGCUCUUACCAUUAGGCAGUUCUACCUAAUAUUUAGGUGGAACUUUUUCUCAUGUAAUUUAGAACGACUGGUUUGUGCAGUUGUAUCUGGAACAACAGAAAACAAGUACGUUCCAUCUUCUUCAUGACAUUCCUUCAAAUAUUUUUAAAUGGCUGUUGUAUCACCUAUUAACUUCAUCUUCAGGGUAAACAUUGUCUCUUAACUUUUUACUGUCUUGGUUGGCCUUCUCUGGAUAAGUUCCAAUUUGUUCCAUAUCCUUCUUGAACUGUGGUACCCAGAAUGGGACACAAUAUUCCAGGUGAAGUCAGCCACAGCAGGAUAGAAGGGUAAGAAAAAAAUGUUUUUGUUAUUUAAUUUGUAUCCUAUACUGUUGUUACAGCCUAGAAUUGCAUUGGCUUUUUUGGCUAGAGCAUCACAAAGUUGACUCAUAUUUAGGUUGGAGUCUAUUGAGAUCCUGAAAUCCUUUCUGCAUGUUGUCCUGUAAAACCAGAUGUUAUCCAUUCCAUUUGGUGAUUACAGUAAGUUUCCCAUAUCUGCAGGGCCAAUAUCAGUGGUUUCAUUUGUCCAUGUCUGACAAAAUAUGUCAUCUUUAGGUCUUCCAGAUCUUCCAAUAUGUCUCGAUUUUAUUCUUUGUGCAGAAGUCCUUGAUUCUGCACAAUGAGUCAGUAUUGUAGCCGCAAAAAAAAGCCAAUGCAACUCUAGGUUUGAUAUUAUCUGCAGUUUUGCAUAACCACACAAUUUAUGGGGACAUAGUCCCCAUGGAUACAGGGGUUGCACUGGAUACAAAUCUUUCUCUCUUCUACAUGGAUGUGUAUGUAUUCGUAACCCACAUUUCCCUAAGUGGAUAAAUUCAAGGCUUCCAAAAAUCUUGAACUGUAAGCAUACUAAUAUUGUCUUCAUUUCAAGCAUAUUUUUGCAUGAAUUUUGAAUAUGCUGGAUAAAAGCCAUAUAAUAUAUUAAUGAUCCCAUAUGGAGAUUAUUCCAUCAUAUUUUCUUUCCCUGAGGAACAACUGCCCAUGUAGCGUGGACUUUUAAAAAUGCAGUUGGAACAGCUGUUGUGGAUUUCAGGUUCGGUAAAGAGCAGCAAUUGAAAGCCAGAGUUAUUGCUAUCUUUUGGCUUCUUUCUUUAUCAUCAUCUUUGUCUCAUCUCAAAAGGUGUUUCAUUAAGAUUAUUUCAGGUAACUGCUAUUUGAUUAUUUUAUAUUUCACAGCAGUGGAGAGGAAUUAAAAACAACUGUCAUAUAAUUUUUAGAGCUCUUGCUUGUAGAUGCAUUUUUAAAUUUUCAUUUCCGAAGAAGAAUCCAGGUUUUGCAUAUUAGAAAGAAAACUCACCACCAUAAUAUAGGUUAUCCCUCCCUUUGAAGUCUAUACUUUCUUCACGAAUAUUUUCCUUAUGAUUUAAUUAUUGCUAGAAGGAAUAUUGCUGAGCCUUUCUCUUGUGGUAUAUUGCAGUCUCUGAGAAUGAGGGAUUACAAGGAGAAGAAAAUAUUUCAGGGUAGUAAUACAUGUUCUCUGUUCAUUAUGACUAUUGUAAGUGUUUCUGUUCAUUACUCCUUGAGCAAUAUCAAAAGUUAAUACAGGUUGAGACUCCUUUAUCUGGAAUUCUGAAAUCCAAUAUACUCUAAAAUGGGAAAUUGUCCAGCAUGGGUGGCUGAGAUAGUAACCCCUUUGGAUUCUGGUGGUUCAGUUUACAUUAUCUUUGUUUCAUGCACAAAAGCUUUAAAAUAUUGUUUCAAACUACCCUCAGGGCAUGUAUAUAAGGUAUACAAAUAUAGAUUAAUUUCAUGUAUAGACUGGGUCCCAUCUUUAAGAUAUCUCAUUUUGUAUGAAUAUGCAAAGACGUGUAUUCCAAUAUCCAAAAAAAAUCUGGUCUCAAGACUUUUGGAUGGAGGAUACUUCACCUGUACUUCUCAAAACGCUGCAGAACUUCCUACACCCCUUGAAUCCCUAUGAAUUUUAUUGAAAGGUUUUGCUCUUAUCAUCUCUGCUAGAGUUGGCUCAUAUUUAAUACAGAUCUCUCUCUGCAUCUGAAAUCUUUAAAUUGCUUUAUGCUCCUUUAUGAAUACAUAAACUGAAAGAAUGGAUAAAAACUCACUGUAAACAAUUCCAUAAUGCAUAUGUAAAGAUUUGCUAAGGCAAGCAGAGGAAAGUUUAGCCUUAUCUUGCCUUCAUCCACCUUUGUCCAUUUCCAGCCUGGUACAGUGUAAAUCACUCUUUCUUUUUUGAAACAUGCCCAUACACACAAACACACACAUAUCUCCUUUCUAGUAUAUUUAAAAAUACCCUUCUUGUUCUGUGACUUCAAGGCAUUUCCAGUUUGUGAUGACUCUGAGGCAACCCUCUUGCAGGAUUUUCUCAACAAGAUUUCUUCAAAGGGGGAUUGCUUUUGCUUUCCUCUGAGGCUGAGAGAAUGUGACUUGCCCAGUGUCACCUGGAAAGUUUCCAUGGUCAAGUGGGAAUUCAAAUCCUGGUGUCCUAGUUCAGCAUUUAGAUCACUACACUCAGCCAACUAUUUUUGUCAUAUAGAAACAACUCAGUAGAUAAAGACUACUGCAUAGUGGAGAAAGUGAAAUAUAAAGCAAAGCCAAAGUCUAGUCAGUGCUCCAUAUUUGCUGGUUUGAUGUCAAUGGACUCAAUUAUUUGCAAGUUUGCUAGUGACCCACACUUUCCAAGUGGCACUUCCUUUGGGUUCCUCAGGCCAUAGAUAAAGAAUAAAGAUUGAGUUAAGCACCUCCAAACCUUGACUUGGUCUGUAUUCCUAUUUUACAAAGCUUGAGGAAGCACAUGCAAAGUAGUCAGGUAUUGCUGCCACCAGUUCCUUCCAAAUCAUUGGCAGAUGACUUGAAAGCGUGCACACACACUGCAUCUAUGUGAGCCUCCAUGUACUUCAUCUCCAAGUAGUCUAAUCAGCACAGCUGGAAUGAGGAAUGCUGGAAGUUGGCGUCUGGAUUCCUAAUUUUUUUUUAACAAAACUAAAAGUUAUUUUAUACAAUGCUGUUUCAGUUGAGCCAGACAGAAACUUUCCUUUUUGGAUCCUUCCUUUCACUUAGUAGAAUUUUGUACAACUGGAAUGUGUUAUGCUUGUAUAUUUCUGCACGCAACAGGAAUAAAAGGGACAUUCCCCUCCCUACCUGGAAAUAAUUAUGUUUGGAUUUACCCAGCAACGUUCCAAAAUUGUGUAUGAAUCUGCAGUUGUAGACAAUGAUUUCAGGCAAGGAACAGAGAUUCUUCCAGGAAUAUUACUACUGUUUCCAGAGAAUAAACAUGUAGGACUCUUGUGGUCCAAAUCCCCAGCGGCCUGAACAGAAAUAGAUGGAUUUAAACUAAUUAGGCCUAGUUGUUUAUCUGUAGCAAGAUGCAAAGUAUUUCAGCUUAUGCUAUUGUUGUAUAUUAAUAACCCAGCCAAUUCAGAAGGUAGGUACCUUAAAUUUGGGUAUAAUUGGCAAGAUGCCAGUGGAAGUCUAUAAGAACUUUGGGUGGAUGGAUGUAUAUGACAAAUAGGAAAAUGGCUGUUUUCUUAGCUGCCAAUCGAAUGUAUUCUGAUUCAUUCAGUUGUGAAUUAAAGGGCAUGCUUGAUUCAUAGCAGAGCAAUUUUAAGUCCUGUUCAGUUUAGUGAAAAAGGUUCAAAAAUAGGUUUAACUUUACAUUGAUUGAUUGAUUCGAUUUAGUACUGGUCAUUGACUGUAAUAAAGAUUGAUAGGUUGAUAUCCUACUUUCCCGCAAUAUGUGGUCCAAGGUGACUCAGAGCAUACAUUAAAGCGAAGCACACACACAAAAUUUGCAAUGAAAACUUUUUUUAAAAUACAUGAAAUAAAAAACGCUAUUAAAAUUGCUAUUUAAAAACAGUUUAAAAUACGUAACACAGCAGUGAGAGUAAAAGGGCAGCAUCCCCCAUUAACCGAUAUUUCUGCAACAGUCAAUUUACGGCCAGAUGCCUAUCUUUGCCUUUUUCUUUAGAGGCAAAAGGGAGAAAGGUGGAGUAUCCUGCUUGAAAGAAGAUGCUUAAAAAAACCCAACAAUCUGCAAAUUUAUUCCACCUUGUUUUUCUGAUGAGAUACCUCAAUUGCUUUAUUGUUCUCUAAUGAUCUAAAUACAAAAAUGAUUGCAUAUUUAUUUGGAAAUACGUAAUUUAGAAUCACUAUAGUGUUGAGGCUUAAUUCCAAGUUUUGUUUGGAUCCUGAUUUAGGUGUACUUAGAGUAGAUCGACUUCACUCCUGACAAACCCCAUUGAGCCCAGAUUUGGGGGAAAAGUGUGAUAUAAAUAAAUAUAAUGAUAAAUAAUAAUAUGAUGAUGCUAGUGAAAGCAGUAAUGGAUAAAUACUUUCCAUCGGUUUUUUAUGGAGCCGCAGUUGCGCAAUAGGUUAAACCCUUGUGCCGGCUACACUGCCGACCUAAAGGUUGAGUUGCUGACCUGAAUCGGCGAGAUGGGGUGAGCACCCGUCUGUCAGCUCUAGCUUGUAAGGACACGAGAGAAGCCGCCCUGCAGGAUGGUAACACAUCCAGGCGUCCCCUGGGCAGCGUCUCCGUAGACGGCCAGUUCUCUCACACCAGAAGUAACUUGCAGUAUGUUCUCAAGUAGCUUCUGACACAAUAAAAAAUUGGUUUCUUAACUAGCAUACAGUACGAAACACAUACCCAUGGGGGAUAAAGUCCCAGAAUUCAAAUGGAUAUGUGAAACUCCAGAUAAAAGUAAAACCUAUUGAAUGAAGGACUUCCACCCCAACUCCUACCAUUCGUCAUACUGGCAAACUGAGAAAAUUUUAUUGGAUGUGGAUUUUGUUGGAUGUUGGAUGUGGAUACAUUUUGGUGGAUGUGGAUAAACGAAACCACAGAUAUUGGUUCCUUAAAUAAGGGCUUAUGCUGUAUUUGAAAACUUGAAUAUAAAACUAAAAAUGGUCCUCCUCAGUGGGGAUGCUUCUAGCAUAUGCACUCCUGAUUUAAAAGGAAAUAAAGAUAAUACUUAACAAAUCCGUGCUUUCUGUAAAAAUAGGAUUCCUCUGAGGUCACCAUGUAGUUCAUCCAAAGUACCGACUAAUGUCUGGGCAGAGAAGGAAUUCAUUUUAUUGUCUUGACAUAUUGCCUCGGGGCAUUGCGAGGAUUGGUCAUUAUGUUUGCAAAACAACUUCAACUUGAAGGGACUGGAAAUUUAAUGGUUUAUAAACAUAGGCUAUAAAGAAAAAUGUAAUCUAAAGGGGGGGAAAUCCUGCUUCACAAUCACUAGCGUUUCUUAAAGCAAACAUUCUAAGCUGCUGUCUAGUUGAGAUGAAGUACUUGGAUUAAAUUUGUUUAGACUGAUUGAUUGCAGUAGGAUUUUUAAAAUUAGUCUCGUUCUUUUUUCUGAACUGAAGAUUGGAAAGAAGGAAAGAGAAAGAAAGAUCACAGUAGAUUAUUUUACUAACCAGUGAUACAACUCUGUAUAGAAAAACAGGUUACAUAUUUACCCAAGUCUAAUGCACCAUCGAAUCUAAUGUACACCUCAAUUUUCAAAACCCUGAAACCAAAAAAAAAAAAAAAAAGCAUUUGCUGGCGAAUGUAAUGUGUAUCAACAAAAAGUGCACUCUUUGUAAUUUGGCCAAAAAAGGUGUGCAUUACAGUGCUUACAUGCUUAUAAUUGUUUAUUUUAAGAAUUCUGGCAAUAAAGGUGAGCAUUAGAUUUGAGUAAAUAUAGUAAUUUGUUCCUAAGAUAGCAAAGCCUGCUCUGUUCUAUUGCUUGGAUUUAUCUGCCCCUUUCCUUCCUUUGUUAGAACGCUCUGCUCAGUAACUAUUCCCAACUAAGACCAAAUUGUACAGUCAUUAAUCCAGAUCCACAGCUUCAACCAUCCAUGAUUUGCAAUUAUUUUAAAAAUGUAAAAGGCCAACCUUGAUUUUUUCUUUUAUGUAAGAGAUACCAUUGUAUAUAAUGGGACCUGAGCAUUCACGGAUUUUGGUAUCCAUUGAGUUCUUGGAAGCAAAUCCUGACAGAUACUAAGGGCCCACCAUAAUUUGAAAACCCGAUGUAGCUUGCUUGCUUUUUCUGUCCCUCUUUUCCCAGUUCUGCUGUACGUUUGCAUGAAGGGAGAUUAAAAGUAUGCAUGAAGGGGGAGUGUCUUGUUUCCAUUAUCAGUACAGCACACAGGCAAUUUUAAAUGCUUUAUAAAUGAUAUUGGUAAUAAUAAUGCCACUGUCCUCCAAUCAUGGAAAAGGUUGGUAUGAUGCCUUUGGGAGCAGCUUCAGAUCCCAGAAUGAGUGCUGCCGGGGCACAAUGAUUGCAUAUACUUCUUCUUCACAGCCUUAACAAGCAGAGAGCAGCAGCAGGUGGUUCUGAUGUGAUAACACUGCAACGGCAUUUCCCUGGGCUGCAAAUAUUUUCAUUCUGGAGGGAAAUCACUGCAGUAGCUAGCAUUAAAUGUAGCAUGUAUAUUAACUAAACAUAUAAGAUCUACAGGAUUAGUCACUGCUUUUCCAAGUUAGGAAAAGAAAUGCUAUCUCUUCCAUCAUAGAUGCAAGAAAACCACCAAUAUCAAUACCUGUUUGAUGCUACCCAAGUGAUCAUGUGUUUGCUCUUGCAGACCACAGAGAUAUCUUACAAAGAUAAAGCAAUUCUUGAUGGAAAGGGGAUUUAUAAUUUAAGAUGAAAUUCUGUACACACUGACCUGGAAGUAAGUCUCAUUGAGGAUUACAUUUGAGUAAAGAAGUCCUAUGAUUCUAUCAUGCCUGCUCCAUUAAGUCCAGUUCAAUUACAGCUGUGCUUUGAAAUGAGAAAUGCCUUAGUUAUUGAUAAUAAGCAAUGUAUGAUUACAAACACUUUAUGGAAAAGAAAUUAUGUACAGGCAGUCCCCAAGUUACGAACAACAUAGGUUCUGUAGGUUUGUUCCUAAGUUGAAUUUGUUUGUAUGUUGGAACAGGUAUAUUUUAAAGUGUAACUCCAGCCAUAUAUAUACACAUACACAAACAUUUUGGAUAGAAUACUGGUGGCGCAGGACUGUUGACCGAAAGGUCGGCAGUUCGAAUCCAGGGAGCGGGGUGAGCUCCAGCUUCCCAUACAGAGACACAAGAGAAGCCUCUCACAGGAUGGUAAAACAUCCGGGCGUCCUCUGGGCAACAUCCUUGCAGACAGCCAAUUUUCUCACACCAGAAGCGACUUACAGUUUCUCAAGUCACUCCUGACAUGGGAAAAAAGGGAAGGGUUAACACCCAUGUGGUGCUUGUUUUGCUGUCUGUACGUCUGUUCAAAAGAUUUUAUUUCACUUUCCGUCCCUGUGAUAAUUGGAUUAUGAAAAACUUGGCAUUGUGGAAACAAGGAUUGAUGAUAAAGCUUCAGUGGAGACACUGUUUACUCUUUCAAGAGUGAAUUUCCCUUAUGAGAGGUAGAUGAUGAUGAUGAUGAUGAUGAUGAUGAUGAUGAUGAUGGUGAUGGUUAGUUUAUACUACGCUUUAUCUCCCCUGAAGGGGACUCAAAACAUAAAACAUGAAAGCAUUUGCAUAACCAUUUAAAAUAUACAAAUAUAAAGGCAUUAAAGCAGGAUUAAACAUAAACAGUGUUUCUCUCACUUCCUAUUGUCUCACCUCCGUUUGUAACUAUAAGUCACAUGUAAGUUGUUUGUAACUUGGGGACUGUCUGCACAUGACUCUCUGAUAUUGAUAUGUAAGGAAUGACUGUAAUGAGGCAGCUUUCAUGUUUGGGUGGAUGAAUUCAGAAGAUUAAAAUCAGAUCAUACAAAAUGGAAUCAGAUCAAACUAAACUGUCAAAGAAUUUGUAAAGUAUGGGGGAUAAUUUUUUUUUAACCUAUUCUUUAUUUGUGAGUAUUACUGAAGCAUCGGCACAUCUACACAAGAUUGAUCACAAGGUCUUUUUUUUUCUUUAUUUCCAAAAGCACAAUUGUAACCAGUCCUGCUUUUAAUUUACCUCUGUUGAUGAGCUUCAUUUUCAGUUUUUCUCUAACAAAUUGGAUGGUAGAUUGUGGCAUGAUUGUGGCUUUCAGGAACUUCGGAAUGAACAAAGCAGAAAUAACGUUUUAAGUCUGUCGUUAUCUCAUGAUGAUGAGAUGCUAAAUUAUGGAUACAUUCUCCCUCUCCCUUUCUUUCUAAUGCAUCUGUUUCCUAAAUGUCCAACAAUCUUUUUAAUCUUUCACAAGAUGAUCCUUAAAUGUCUGCUAAUGGCCAAAAUAUUGAGCACUGAAGAGGCUACAAAGCCUUCCAGCUCUACUGGCCUGGUUAACCUUUUCCAUAGUGAUGCAGAAAUAAUUAAUGGGAAUGUAUUCAUGCUUGAAUCUCACAUCCAAAAUUAGGCACAUAAACAAUUAUAAUUUCUAUGAUGCAUAACUAGCUUUCUCUGCCACAUUUCACUGGGCAGUGAAAUGUGAAUCUGCCUCUCCCUUUUAAAUACCUACCGAUAUAUACCUGGUUCAGUGACAGCUGGUUGUCAUACUCUGUGCUUACUCCACCCCACUCCAACCUUGUCAGCUUCUGUAUGAGUAAUUGUUUGAAGCAAAAUAAAAUAUGAUAUUUUAUCCAGUGAGUUGCAUAUAAAGCUUUUUUAGUUGUGCUGUAGUGAUAUAUUUUUGAAGCACAUAAGCUCGGCAUGUGGGCUCUUCAUAGCCAUGACUCCAGUGGCUGAUAGCUGCCUACUUCCAAACAUCUAAUUAGGCAUGGGCAAACUUUGGCCCUCCAGGUGUUUUGGAUUUCAACUCCCACAAUUCCUAACAACCUAUCGGCUGUUAGGAAUUGUGAGAAUUGAAGUCCAAAACACCGGGAGGGUCAAAGUUUUCCCAUGCCUAAUCUAAUCCGUUCUGGAACCUUCAUCAGGAAUUGGUCUUUUGUAAAGCGAAUGGGUCCUCGUGGCUGCAAACCACGCCAAAAUGUUUUAUUUCAGAGGUAGAGAUUUCUCACAACAUUGUAUUAUUGUUUUUUAAAAAAUCCAUCCACUCUCCCCUACUUGAUAGAGGCUAACAAGAGCAGCAAUGCCCUGCUACGUUUAACCCAACACCGUAGGGGAGAAGUGGGCAAUAUGUGUCCCUCCAAUUAUUGUUGAACCGCAAAUCCCAUGAGCCUUAGGCAGCUAAACCAAAGGUAAAAAAUAAUGCAAGGUGAAAUCCAUAUGAUGUCAAGCCUUCAUAUUAUGGCAACCUCACUCACACUAUGCAAUAAAGUCCUCGUAUUUGCUUUGUGUUACAAAUUGCGGGAUGUUACAUUGGCUGAACUAGUCAAAUCACAAGGACUGGAUUCAGCUGCUGUUGGUGCUAUUCUGCAGAUGUCUCCUUGAAGGUCCAGAUGGCCUCCGGUUGUCUUUAAACCUUUUUAGGGAGAAUCUGGUGCUCAAUAGCAAGGAAUCCUACAUUUCGUCCCUGGCACCAGAUCCUGUCUGAUCUCAGAAGCUUAGCUGAGAUAGGGACAUCAACAGAUAAUAAAUAUACCACAUACUGUAGGCUGUAAUCCAAGGAGGGCAAUGACAAGCCUCCUUUGAAGAAAUCUUGCCAAGAAAACCCAGUGAUAGGGGUCUCAUUAAUCAGAGCUUUUUUUCCAUGUCAGAAGCAACUUGAGAACAUAGGCCAGAUUUCUUCAAAGGAGGCUUGCAGAAUUGACUGUCUACAGAGACGUUGCCCAGGGGACGCCCAGAUGUGUUACCAUCCUGCUGGGAGGCUUCUCUCAUGUCCCAUAAAUCAGAGCUGACCUGAGAGGAUAUUAACAAUAAGAAAGCAAAAUGAGGCUGCAUGUGACCCUUUAAGGCUGUUUUGAAGUCACCAACAGAAUGCUCAUUCUCUUGCAAAAAGAAGAAAAAGCUAAUUAUCUUCAGAAACCUUUAGAAUAGUAAUUUAAUAUAUCCCAACCCUCCUCCCAAUUUACCAUUAAAAAGUGCCAACAUUUCAAAAAAGAGAAUUAGGCAUUUUGCAGAGCUGGCCUGAUGCCUCCUGACCCCAAGGGCCCCAGAGCAGAAGACUGAUCCCUCCAUUGUGACCCGUUCGUGGUUUAAAGAAACAAGCACUUCAGUCUCUGGGCAGCAGUUGCCCUUCCAAGUAGACAGACAUAGAUUAAAAAAAAUACUUAUACACUGUAGCUGUAAAAGCACAGGGAAGCUGUUAAUGGGCCAUUAAGUCUAGUGGAUUUGUCUUCCAUACUUUGUGCAACUUGUUUAUUUGCCAUUUGGUGCAUUCAUGCAAGGAAGCAACCUCCACCUGUAUUUUUUUCAUGAACCUUUCCUCAGUGAGCCAUUGCUUUCAAGGAGCAUUAACUGGCUGUCAAUAAGGAGUUCUAGUAAACUGCAUGAAGGAUAACUGGAGAUGGAAGACUCUAGUAAAGCAUAUUGCAGUGAUUUCACUUGACUGAAGUCAAGAAAUCUACACUGCCAUAUAAUGCCGUUUGAAACUGCAUUAUAUAGUUGGUGUAAAAGGUAAAGGUAAAGCAUUUCCCCUGACAUUAAGUCUAGUUGUGUCUGACUCUGGGGGUUGGUGCUCAUCUCCAUUUCUAAACUGAAGAGCCUCUUCAUCUUGGAAAAUUUGUUUUAAUAUAAUAUUAGCUAUUAUGUAUUGAAAAAGCUUUUGCAUUGUGCAGCUAAACAUCACCAACAACAACAAAAAUCUCUGUCCUUGAAAUAAAUGUGACCAAUUUGAAGACACAUGUGAAUACAGUUAGUAGUGAAUGAAUGUUAAAACAUUUAUAUAUACGUAAUGGAAAAUUUAGUGAGCUGAAGAUGUUUUCAAACACAUCUACUUAUGUGGACUAAAAAAAAUCUUUGCUUUCUCUCUAAAUUUAAUGCUCCAUAUUGGCUGAAGAUUAAGUAGUGCAGAACGGAGGAGGUUUCUAGCAGCUUUUAAUUUCCAUCUCCGUGGGGCAUGUAUUUCUCUGUAAAUUAUAAACCUUAAAGAGGAUAUCUAAAGCCUUAACCCUGUCCUUUAAAUUUCAGACUAAAACCCAAAGCAGAUUUGACCACCCACCUAUUGAUGGGUUUUACCUUUUUUAUUUAUUUUAUAUUCUGAUUGAACAUCUCUCUCUCCCUCCAAAAUUCUUGGUUUUUCUUAUAGUUCAUGCCUCCCUCCUUAUUUGAAGUCCUGAAUCUGAGCUAUACUAUUUUAUUCUAUGCUGAUCUGGGUUAAAUAAAUAAAUGCUGCCAACCUCAAUGUGAUUAAGGCUCAGCUUUUUAACAGCUUACUGUAUAAUGAUUUCACUGGACCCAGUGCAACUGCUCCAGGACAAGAGUGAUUUAAAGGCUUUAUUGUGCCAGGUCAAGAAACUGAGCACACCAAAGUCAGGAAAUUCUUAACCACUAAAUGCAUAUUGUGGUCAUGUUUUAAUUAUAUAUAUUAAUCACAAAAUCCCCCAUGGAGCAGCAAAGAGAACCAGACAGAAAAGUGCUAUGUGGAUGAAUUGCAUAUUCCUUUGGCUAUAGAGUUAGAUCCAAAUCUAAUCAUGUUUAAGAACCCAUUUAAAGGAAUGGGAAUUAAGUUAGUCUUGAUUGAGUUUCAAUGAGCUUCCCUUAAGCAGAGUCAUCCCCCACUUUUCAAUGGCACCUGUCCCAACCAACUGAAUUACUAGUAUAUCAAGAACCUGUAUAUUUGAUGCAUGGUCCACUCUUUUAGCAUAUAUUAAAAUAAAACCAAAAUAAAAUUCAACUGAUUUAAAAUACAUCUGAAUUAAAAAAUAAAACUAGAUUAAAAUGAAGCUGCAUUAAAGUGAAAACACAACAUUGGGUUCCAUAUUUUACCAAUUUCCAUUUUUUGACAGUACUUUGGUUCCUAACUUGUCCAAUAAGCAGGGGAUCUUUGCCAUGCUUGAUCUUGGUCAAAAGGCCAAGAAGCAAUGGCUAAGUAUGGAUGAAUGAAAUCUAUAGUGCUGUAUUUUGAGUCAUCUUCCAUGUUACAUUUUUGUUGUAUGCCUAAAACAGGAGUGGGCAAUUGCACCAGGAAUGGAGACCAAGUUUUGUGCUUUCCCACAUUGCAUUAAAUAAAUAUAAAAUUCAGCAUGCCUCCCCUUAUCCAGGAAUUGGAUAUCUAGGGUUUCCUUUCCCCACGCUCCAAAAAUAUUCGUCCCAAAAAGGAUUGGUAAGCUUCUCUAGGUCUUCUAGUGCAGAGCUUCUCAAACAUUUCCACUCAUGACCAGUUUUGGCCUAAGCUGAAGCAUCUUCUGCAGAGCCCAGUGUAAAUGCUACACAACACAUUUGUGCAAAUGUCUAAAACAGCCACUAGGUGAUGUUCUGAAACCUUUUACUGUUGCAAUUUUUUCAUGAUCCCAACCUUGAGCUAAAAGGCCCCCAUUUGUGUUUGGGACCCACAGUUUAAGAGGCAGUGCUGUAGCAUGAUUCUAUGACAUACUUCUGGCACACAUACCUGUAUGCACAUUGCAAUGGCACACUUGUUUGGCUGAAAAUACAGGUACUGCAGUGUACUUUCAGUGGUAAAUAGAUGUUGUGUGACACAUUAAUAUGCAAACCACCAGUACUUCAAGUGCUAGAAAACCCUCAUCCCCCCCCCCCCCAACACACACACCAUGGAAUGCUCUCCCCUUGGAAACCUGACCAGUGCCAAUGCUGGCCCUUUUUAGGCACCAAGUGAAAACAUGACUAUUUACCAACGCUUUUGAAGCCUAACUUUUAAACUUCAAAAUAUUUACAUGCAUGGUUUUAUAUGUUCAUAACUUUUUUGACCUAUUUUAAACUUGUCACUGUGUGUUAAUAUGUUUUUCCUCUAUUGUUUACAUUGAUUUAAAUUGAUUUAAACUGUUCAUAAAUUCUAACCUUCACGUCACCUUGAGAUCUUGCCAAAUAGAGUGGGAUGUAGAUAUAUAACUACAUAUCUAAACAACACUUCUCAGUACUCAGAAGCAGGGUGUGCAUGUGUUACAGCAGUUAUCCAUCCUGGAUGAAUCGGGGCUGGUAUUUCUUUAGAAAAACCUCGUAGCAGGCUUUGCAACCCUAUAAUCCCAGCCUUAUGCUUACAGUCCUGACCCUGAACUCCCUCCUUUUAGAUCUACAGAAAAGAUGUGCAUUCCACCUUCAGCUGACACAUCAAGUAACAAAAGCAUGGACAUAAAAAUAGCCUUUAACAGUUCAGCAGAAAUGCAAGAGUUGCAGGCUGUCCUUUUUAGGCCUGGUGGUCUUUUGAUGGCUAAAAAUGCUUUCAUAUUUAAUCCAUGAAAUGCAUGACUGAAGAAGAACUUUGCCAGCCUGAUUCAAUGGAAACAUUUCCUCCUGUUCUGUUAGCUUUAUGUACUGAAGGACAAUCAUAUUUUCAAGAUCAUGGAGAAGUUAGAUUUGUAGAUGACAAUAUCAGGUUAUUGGUCCUAACACUUGUAGUUUCCAAUCUUUCAUACCUUAUUUCUUCUUAUUCAAGGAAUUUUAUUCUAGGAAUUUUAGGCAUCUCACCUAACCAAGGAUUUCCUCUUCCUUGGCUCGGCUUGAUCCUUUUAGUCUCUGCUCCGUAUUCUUGGAAUUGCUUCCAGGAACAUUUGAGAACUGCUCCUUCCCUUGUUAUUUUUUAAUCUCAGGUAAAAAUGUUCUUGUUUUCCAAAGCUUUUUUGAGCUGUAGUUUAAUAUUGUUCUAUAAUCUUGUAUAUUUUGAUUACCUGUCUUGGUCUGUUUGAAUGAUAUUGUAUUGUAUUGAAUUUUAUCUGGAUAAUUUGUUUUACAAUUGUAUUGUGCAGAUUUAUGUUUUAUUAUUCUUUCCUUCCCUCUAUGUAUGUGUACACACAUCUAUUUUAGAUUGUAUGCCUUUGGCAGAACCCACUGUUUUAUUUUUUGUUUGUUCUACAGUAAAGUGCCAAUUCAGCUUCGUGGCACUGCUUGGAGUGCCAGGCCAGAAAGAAAUGCCUUAACAAUGAGCCAGACCAAUCAGCAGUGGGGCUUGCCAGCGCCUCAGGUGUUAGUGCCAACCUUGCCUGCUGGGAUAACAAAUUGGCCACUAAUAAAAUAAAAAGGACUUCUUGCAAGACUGAAGUACAGUAGAGUCUCACUUAUCCAAGCUAAAUGGCCCGGCACAAGCUUGGAUAAGCAAAUAGCUUGGAUAAUAAGGAGGGAUAAAGGAAAAGCCUAUUAAACAUCAAAUUAGGUUAUGAUUUUACAAAUUGAGCACCAAAACAUCAUGUUAUACAACACAUUUGACAGAAAAAGUAGUUAUGUUAUGUUGUAGUAAUGUUAUGUUGUAAUUACUGUAUUUACGAAUUUAGCACCAAAAUAUCAUGAUAUAUUGAAAACAUUGACUACAAAAAUGGCUUGGAUAAUCCAGAGGCUUGGAUAAGCGAGGCUUGGAUAAGUGAGACUCUACUGUACCAGGAAUUACAGUUCAGAAGGAUGACGGCAUCUUCUGCAUCAGGCCACAUCAUCCGCCUUCCUCCCUAUCCCCACCCCAAGGGGAAAAGGUCGGUCGCCUAUCUCUCCCCCCCCCCCCAAUUGUUUCCUGUGCAACAUGGGAAGCCUACUUUGUUGCUGGUGUGGUGACUUACAAUGCUUCCUCUUCAUUUGUGGUGCUGAGUCCCACCGGAAGUAGAUCAGCGCCAUGAGAUGGGAACCAGCAGAUUCUGUGCAGCAAGUGAAGUGGAAGUGAGGCUGUAGGUUGCUUCAAUUAGGAAAAUAGUGGGUUGAAAGAAGUCAUAUUUUUAAGCGUUUUAAUUUUUAUAUACAUUUUAUCAUGUUUUUAUCAUGUUUUAUCAUGUUUUAAUUGUUUUGUUUUAUAGUAUAUUUGUUGUUGGCCCUCGUGGCAGAAUGUAAGCCGCUCCAAGUCCCCUCGGGGAGAAGGGCGGGGUAUAAAUGCGUGUAAUAAAUAAAUAAAUAAAUGAAAUAUUUUCACUUUUAUUCUGUCUUGGUCAGACCUCACCUGGAAUACUGUGUCUAUUUCUGGGCACCACAAUUCCAGACAGAUAAGGACAAUUUGUAACAUGCCCGGGGAUGGAAACCAAAAUGGAAGCCAAGCCCUACGAGGAGUGGCUUUGUUUAGGUUGGAGAAGAGAAAGGAUAAGAGGGAACAUGAUAGUCAUAUUUAAAUUUUGAAAGGGUGCCAUGUUGUGGGUGGCAUGAGCUUUUUUUUUUUUGGCUAGGAUAUGGAUUAAUGGAUUCAAACUGCAGGAAAAGAGAUUCCACCUAAACAUAAGGAAAAAAAUUCUGACAGUAAGAGUUGUUUGACAUUGGAAUAUGCUGGUGUUAGUGGUGUCUCCCUCUCUGAAGGUUUUUUUUGGUAGAGGUUGGAUGGCUAUCUGUUUGGAGUGCUUUGACUAGUUAUUACUGUAUGGCAGGAUCUCUUCCAACUUUACUGAGGUUCAGGAACAAUAGGAAAACUUCCUUUUCCUAAAUACAGAAAGCUGAAACUGGGGGAACUAAUAAAAAAGUAAGUUACUCAUUUUUCUAACAAGUUACUUUGGCAGCUCAUUAAGAACUGGAUGCUCUGUCAACUUUGUGACACCUUCUCACUCAUGUGGAGCACUUUUACAUCAGUGUCCAGUAGCUGACACUGUGAAUAGGAAGUGUCAGCACAGAAACUAUUGAUAUGAUGAGUGUGGUAGUAGUUUCUGUAGCAGCAUCAAUUUAAUCUCAAGGCCUUCAUCGUUCUACUCAAAUUGUAAUUCUCAUUGGGCAACUGUUGACAUCCAAUAAAUGCAACCUAAAAUGAUCACAUCAUCAUUUAUCUGGAGGAGUAACUAUACCCCUUAGUUGUGUUUCCCAGAUAAUGGGAAAAUCCAUGAUCAAGUAACAGAUCUUUACAAGCAGGAAAGGAAUCGGUUUGAAAUGACCCAACAGCAGGGCAACGUGUUGCAACUCUGAGAGGGCCAUGCAAUAAGCAAUAAGCUCCAAGCGAAGAUAGGACUAAUGCAACAGUGUUGUGGUUUAACAGAAUAGUCAUUUGCAGACACUCCAUACUCUGCUUGCUUUAAUAACAAAUGCAGCUUACAUCUGUGCUCCUAUAUGCAUGCUCCACUGAAAACUUUGCAGAAUGAGUAUCAAAGAGCGAACCUGCAAUUUUACCCAUUACUCUGACACCAAAAUCAAUUUGACUGGAACUAACAAAGGGUGACUUUGUGAUUGUGAAGUAAUUGGAAUUCUUUGGCUUAUAGAAUUUUGCAAGAAGAAGAAAAUCAUUUUGAAAUUCACGUGCGCGCGCACACACACACACACAAACACAUACACAUAACAACAACCCUAUAUGAAUUUGCAGGCUAAAUGUUUGAUUGCUACUCACCUUGGAUUUGUGUAUUUAACAAAAUACUUUUAACUGACAUUUACAAAGCAUUACAGGAAAUAAGCCUCUACUAUACACUGUCCAACUUUGAUCCUUGGCAGCAUUCAAUAUGGGCCAUGUAUUUAAAAUCACUGGCAAGCACCGUUAAGACAGUAUCCCAUUAACCUGGUUGUUUGGGUAGAGGCUUAUUUCUUUAUUUAGAGAAUUUUUACUGUUUUCAUUCACUACAAAGGCAGUCAGAGCGGUUUACAAAAUUUAAAUUUUAUUUCAAGUUUAGAAUGUACAUCAGAUCAAUAAUUAUGACAUCUAUACACAUAAUAAAAGUGAAAAUCUGAAUGUGUGUAUAUGGCAGAAGUGCCAAUUUACACAGGCAGGCUCCCACCUCCACAAACAGCUACAACUCCCAGUGCUGAGGAGCCACUAAAGGCACUCCAUCCAAGGACAUUGCGGGUUAUAGCAGCUGCCACGAACGUGUCCAAGAGCCCUGCCAAUGUCCUCUGCAAACAACAUACUUCCCACCACCCAAGUGAAGGCUUUCAGACGGGGACAAUUGCACCAUAGAUUUUCUGUUUUUCCUCCACCAAAGACACCUCCCAGGGUUCCUUUCUCUCUCCAUUGGUGUGGAAUUUGCAUGAGCCCACCCACUGCCUCAUUGACCUUGAUUUAUGGGAGUUAUAGUUCAACUGCAUCCAGAGAAACUGUGCCUCCAACUGACAAUGGACUGGGACCAAACUUGGCACAGAGAAGCCCCAUGACCAACACAACAUACCACAGGAGUUUGUGGGAAUUGACCUUGAUUUAGGGAGUUCUAGUUUGCCCUUAUUCAGAGAGCACUGAACCUAGCCAAAAUCAGAUCUGCUCCAAACUUGGCAAACAGACCUGACAUGGCCAACUGUGCAUACUGGCCUGGUUUGGGGGUGAUUGUCCUUGGUAUAUGGGAGUUGUAGUUCACCUGCAUCAAGAGAGCACUGAACCCAGCUGACGUUAGAUCUGGACCAAACUUGGCACACACACCCAACAUGGCCAAUUUUGAAUACUAGUGGGGUUUGGGGUGACUGGCCCACAAUUUUGGGAAUUGCAGUUCACCCACAUUUUCUAAUUCAUAAAAAAAACCACAGGAAAGACGGGCUUUUCCCCAAGAAAUAGAACUACAAAUUAUCUAACACCCCACAACAAACAACACCUUUUUCAAAUAACCUGGGCACUGCCGGAUCCCCAAGCUAGUAAAUUGUAAAUGCUACAGCCAGUCCUAUAUGUCUUGUGGGUUUCAAUUUUGCGGAUUUGCUUAUUCACAGAUUUGAUAAAUAUGUUCUCUCUAGGAAUCUAGGAAUGGGGCCUCCGGUGGCGCAGUGUGUUAAAGCGCUGAGCUGCUGAACUUGCAGACCAAAAGGUUGCAGGUUCAAAUCCGGGGAGCAAAAUGAGUGCCUGCUGUUAGCCCCAGCUUCUGCCAACCUAGCAGUUCGAAAACAUGCAAAUGUGAGUAGAUCAAUAGGUACCGCUCCGGCGGGAAGGUGACAGCGCUCCAUGCAGUCAUGCUGGCCACAUGACCUUGGAGGUGUCUAUGGACAACGCUGGCUCUUCGGCUUAGAAAUGGAGAUGAGCACCAACCCACAGAGUCGGACAUGACUGAACUUAACGUCAGGGGAAACUUUUACCUUUACUAGGAAUCUCUGGAAGAUCUAGAGACUUCUAGAAAAGUGUUCUUUCCAGUAAUAAAAUACGCUUUUAUUUGCAGUUUUUUCCAGUUUUGCAAGGAUCCUGAGUCCCUAACCCCAUAAAUGUGGAGGGCUGACUCAUAGUAUCUCAAGGGUUGUGGUAGGAUGAACUUGGCCAGAAGAGCUUCCAGAAAGGGCAGAUAUUACUAGAUUUUUUAUUUCAUUGAAACAUAGAGGUGGAAAACAUUGCAAGGGUCAUCCAGACCAAUCCCCUGCUAUCUUUAUCCCAAGAAGUAUAGCCAAGAACUGAUAAAACCUCUCAUUUUUAAGGUUAGACAAAAAUGAAAGGCAUUAAAUGAGAAAACAGAUUCAAACCAAGCACUGAGUUAAAACAGUUCAGAAACAUUUAAAAUGCUACAAAAAGGGAGAAAUACAGCCUGUAUACAUUCAUUUAAAGAGCCUUCCACAGCAAUUGGUUAAUGGCCUGAAGACUCUUGGAAAUAUCUAUCUAUCUAUAAUCUGUCUAUAAAAAUAUCUCUGCCUGCCAGUGGAAGAAGAAAGAGGAACCAGUCUAGCCACCUGUGAUAAAUGCUCCCAAUGUUGGGAUGUUUGAAGAUUUGAUCUUUCCGAUUUAAAAAUGACCUUAGCUGUGUUCAUCUGACAUGGGCAUCAGAACCCACCUGUCUAGUUUUCACUACUCCCAAUUAUUCCAAAUCUUGAGGGGGAUUUCAGGGGAAUACACUUAUAAACUUGCUUUUACAUGAAAAAUUUGUGGAGAUUUUCUUAAAAAGCACAAUAAUUUAUAAUCAGAUGGAAAAUAGCUCUGUGUGAUCGUACUGAAAAGUGAGGCCGGCUAGAAACAAGACAGAUUCAUACAUCACGAGUCUAAUGGGCUGCAUUUCUCUUUCUAAGAGAAACAAAUAGCAGCCAAUAUUCUCAAAUAUAAAUUCUAAAAUCCGCACAUGAUUAAAAGCAACACUUAACAAAUGCUUCUCCAUUGACUGAUCCCACACAGCCAUGAUAAGUAAAUAAAACAUGGACUACCAAGCAAUUACCCUGGAUCCAAAAUCCAUUAAUUUCCUGUCCAUCUCUUCGUAUGGCAAAAUACACUUUGCUGACAUUUACACAGCAUUACAGGAAAUAAACCUGGCAUGUAUCACACUUUCUCGUUUUGAUCCUUUGCAGGCAUUCAAUGCGGGCCACAUAUUUAAAAUCCCUGGCAAGUGUUCUUAAGACAGCAUCUCGUUGUGUAUAUUUUAGGAAGCACAAAAAUUGGAUGACCUUGAGCAUCCUGAAAAUGGGAUAUGGAAGCUGAAAAAGGUAAUGUGAGGUAACAUAAAUACAGCAGCCUGCCAUCCCACUGUUGUGCUUUAAGGGCUUAAACUGAAUUUGGAUCAUCUCCUUCUCAAACUUUGCACAUUACUUUUGCAAACCUCUAAAAAUAAAAAUAGUAGGAAACUAGUCUGCCACUUAGACAGUAUGAAUUGUGACCAUCUAGCAGAAGGAGGGUAAAAACAAAGUAGAGUUUAGAAAAUGAUGCAGAUGUUAACAGAGUAACAAGACUGAGAGGAGAAGGGGCGAGAUUUUGCCCAACACAAUAGACUUGGGCAAAAGCAAACUGCUGCAGAUUCUCCUAUCUUGUGUGCUCUUCUUCAACUUUUGCCAUCUUGACCACUGUUUAAUGUUGCUUGGCUACCAGAUGCUCAUCUGUGAAAUACCACUACCUGAGAUUAUUUUUUCCAGGAAGUUAAUUGGGUUCCAUCAUAAAUCUGAAAGCACAGUGGCUAAGGUAAGGUGGCAGGAGCUCCAACGUAAGAUAAGAUACCUUAGAAGUAGGUCCUGGAAUAAAUUUCAAAAUCCACAGGCAGGCAACAGCUUUUUUUGAAUUAUUUACAGUUCCUCAGCAGUAUGCACACUGUUUAGUUCUGGCAAACUUUGCAUUAGAGUAGGUAGUGAAAAAUUUAGGGCUUUGAAUAUGAAAUCAUGUGGGUCCAAACAUUAAGUAAAUACGGGUGCACUGCACACAGACCCCAAAUGUUUUUUGUAUUGUUGCUUAAACUAUGUCCAAGCUCAAUCAAGCUUUCAAGCUCUACGUUAUGGUAGCACAUUAAUGAGUGACAGCUAUACAGUGUUGGGGCUUGAUAGAUUGCAUCCUAAAUAUACAGCCUGAGUCAUGGGAAAUAAGAUAACCAGGUCAAGAGGACCUCUAAAACAUGCAGUAUUUUUCCCAUAUGUCCAGAACUCAGUCACUAUUUGGAAUAGCUAUACUUUAGAAUUAGAAGGUCAGUAUUGUGUGAGUAAUAGUUAUUGCUUUUAUGAUUAUGUUCAUGGGGUUUGAUGAGCAGGCUUAAAUACUGUAUUUCUUCAAUUUUAAGAUGCACCCUAAUUUCCGUACCACCAACCACACCAAAAUACAUAAGAUACACCUGCAAUUCUAAGACACACCCCAUUUUCUGAUAUGCUUAUAAAGUGCAGCUUUGAAUUGAAGGAAUACAGUACUGGCUACAGUUGACUUUGAGCAUUAUGUUGCAUACUUUAUUAAGGAACUUGUAAUUUGUCUUUCUACUUCCAGAAUAGAUGUGUUUUGCAGAGUCAAGGCUAUAAAACUAACAGUGAAACAAUAGUAAAUCCAUACCAAUUAAAACCAUGCUGACAAAACUAAGCAAACUUAAAAAACAGCAAUUAAAAAAAAAACACCAAAACCAGAAAGAGGUAAGGGAAAACAAAAGAGAUCAUGCACAGCCAUGCAUGCUGCUCCGGGGGAAAGAAGUAAACAAAUAAGCAAAUAAAAGGAGGAAACCAUGAAAAUGAACAAAAUCUGGCUUCCAGUAUUUAAAAAAACUCUAAAAUCAGGACAUUAAUAAAGAGCAACUCUAUUAAAAAAAGGAAUUCCAGACAGGAAACAAUCAGGGCCAGGUAACACCUCCCAACAAAGGAUUCCCCCAGGCGGGAAGCAGCCAGGCUUUGAAGCUGCAAGACCAUUCAAUGCAGAUCAUGGUGGCCAAUUGCAACAUUCACACUUGCCUCAAACAGACAAGAGCUCUUUCUCCCACCAUAGACAUUCCACAAAUAUAUAAACCUCACUUGCCUAGUUUCCAACAGACCUCACAACCUCUGAGGAUGCCUGCCAUAGUUGUGGGCGAAACAUCAGGAGAGAAUUCUGCUAGAACAUGGCCAUACAGCCUGGAAAACUCACAGCAACCCAGUGAUUCCAUCCAUGAAAGCCUUCGACAACAAACGAAAAGUUAGUUGAGAAAGACAAGUCUUGAAAUAAAAACUUUCAGUCAUGCCUUCUGGGAGGAAGUUUCUCAUUACGGUGCCACUGCAGAAGAGUCUCUCUCAUAUAUCUUCAUCAUCCAUAUCUUAAAUAGCAGAAGAAUGUGUGUAAAAGCCUACUUUUAAGCUGAAAAGGUUUGAACACAUAUGUCAGAAAAUAGAGAAGAAAUUCCACAGAAUGAGAGAUGAAUUCUGUCUACUUUUUCUUCAAGUUAGGACACAUGGUGAUAGUGGACUUGGGAGUUGUUGAAACCAGAAAACUCAAAUCUCAUAAAGGAUGUGGUAGAAUUAAUAUUCAAUUCUGUUUUAAUAUUUAUCAUUUGUGGGUUUUUCAAUUGAAUACUUUUUAGGGUUGUGAACCACUUUGGGUCUUGGCCAUAAGAGAAGAGGAGGAGGAAGAGGAACCAAACCCUAUACGUUCUUUUUUCGAUUCUAGGGUGCACUUCCUCCCACAUGUAAACAUCUCUGAAAAUGGGAUGCAUCUGAGGAUUGUGGAUACUUUUUAUAUAUUAAUAAAGUUUUUCUUCUGUUGGUGGUACUGAAAUUAAUGUGCACUUUACAGUCAGUGGCAUCUUAGAAGCAAAGAAAUAUGGCCCUUAUGUAUUGUGAACACCAGCUUGUUGGAGUCACGGGGGAGAGGAAACACGUUCAGAAUGGCCUCUACUCUUCAACCAUUUUGUGUGCCUCUGAUCUAAAGAAGAGGACUGAAGUGUGCUCAUUGUGAGGUGCAAUCUGCUAUAUUUCCUUCCAGAUUUGGGGAAGCUUAACGAGACUUUAAUUCAAAAGAUCAUCUGAUGAGGCCGAUGCAGUGGGGUAUUAGCAUUUGUAUUUAACCCUCUUCCCCUGUGGUUUUGCUCAUAAGCUCUAUGUGUCUGGGGCAAGCAGCACGCCAGCUUUAGGAUGCAAAUCUUCUGUGUGAUUCUAAGUUGAUUCUUUACAAUUAAAAAGCUAUUUCAUUUAAGCAUCCUGAACCACUAACAUGUUUCAAAUCCUCUUCAGGAAGUUAGAUCAUUAAAACUAGUAUGAGAGCAAUCUCUAGAAAAGCCCUCGGCAUCUUUCAUUAAUAUAGAUUGCAUUUCUCGGUAGAAACGGUGUAGGCUUGCAGUUUAUUUAAGGCAAAUGUUGUGUGGUUUCUAACGCUAACUCGUAUAUCAGCUUAUUCUAACAUGUCUGGUUAUUUCUGAAGGAAUGUAAGACAUAAAUAGAAGUAAUUUUUAAAAAUCUACGAUAUGCAUUGAGUAUAAUGCCUACCAUUUUUCAUUUUCUGUAAUUGUUUUACUAAUGUCCCUGUGGUUAAAGGAUUAAAACAUGAAUUUCAGUAAUGAUCUGAAAGGCAAUAUAUUAUGUAGAAGGGUAUACAACUCUUAAUCUUUCUCUUUCUCUCUGGAACUGUCAUUUAUAUUAGAGCUAAUGUGGGCUAUGACUCUGGGGACCAGCGUUCAAAUCCCUGAUUGGCAAUGGAAACCCACUGGCCAAGUCACUCUCUCAGUCUCAGGAAGGCAAAGACAAAACGCCUCUGAACAAAUAUUACUAAGAAAGCCCGGUAAUUGGUUUGCCAAAGGGUAUCCAUACGUCAGAAACUAUUUGAAGGCACACAACAAUAAUUUCUACUUACAGGGAUUUUCUCUGUUUUCCACAGUGAAGAAAUUGCUCCCAGUUUUGCUGAAACAGUGCCUAAAUAUGUAAGUUAAUGUUAGUUGUGACUUGUAGUCCAAAUUCCUUAGGGAAACUCGUAUUUUGAAAAGAAACCUUAAUCAUAAAAGCAGUACUUGCCGUAUGCCUAAUGAAAUACUGUAGUCAAGCUCUUUCUUGCAGAAUUAUCUCAUCAUCAUCAUCAUCAUCGGCAGUCACUCAUGGCUGAGUAUGAUUGCCUUCCUAAGGUAGAGCCUUGACGGUGGGUCCAUAAGUGACUGUAGAAACCUAUUCUGGAUCUGCGUGGACUUUCGCAGUGAUAACAUUUCCAGAUGGAAAGUGGUCCCGACAAUGGUUUACUUGACACAAAAUAUGUAUAAAGGUUAAAAGGCUGUGCGAUUACUUUAAAACAAAUUUAUUGUGGAUUGCACCUAGGUAUUCAAAAAUGUGGAGGCUCUGAAUCAGAAAUUAGCUAAUUACUCUAUCCAGUCUAAUAUGUUAAUUAAUUUAGGUUUACAUCUCCAGAGGCCUUCAGAGUCCCUUUUUUUCUCCUCUUGGCAGCCUUCUUCACUUUCAGGCAAGCUAUCCCAUAAAAUGGGAGGUUGCUUCCAAGAUACAUUUCCCUGAGGUGAACUUUCCCAAAUGCUCCUGGCACCAUAAGGAACUGUUCUGUGUUUGUGCGUGACAAAAAAGGCUUAUAAAUACUUGCAGAACCAUAAAGAGGUUCUUUAUAUUAUAAUCAUAGCUGGCUUUGUCACAAGGUCUCAAGAUUGAAAUAGAAAUCAUAAAUAAAACAGCACCACAUGAAAUUCCUAAUUGAAUGUGGAAUCUUAAACAGUGGAAGUAUAUGUUCUACAUGGCCUUGUCUUCUCAGUUGAUCAUGUUAUAAUAUUGGCACCGCAGCCAAAAAAACCCUGCUUUUCAUAGUCAUUACCCAUAACUCUGUUGGUAAAACCACAAAGAGAUCUUAUCCAUAUAUACUUGUGACUUUCAUCUUAACUUGGGGUGUUUGAGAGGGUGUUGUAUGGUGGAAGACACAGGAAAAAUAAUAAUAGUAUAAUAUUAUACUUUAUUUAUAUUCUGCUUUAUUUCCCCGAGGGGACUCAGAGUGGACUAUAGAAUACAUACAAGGCAAACAUUAAAUGCCAUCAUAAUUAACAAUAAAGACAGACAAUAGACAGAGGCAAGGCUUUUUCAUCUUCGACAUCUGGAGGCUAUUCUCCACUCGGCCAUAGGGAGGUGCUGUUGUUCCAUUUUCCACGCCGAGGAGGACAUUAGUAAUUAACAUCUUGGAUACUAGUUCCUAAUUAUGCCAAGAUAUUUCAGUCUUCCAGGUAGAAGGCUUCUCUGUCUUUUAAUAGUGACAGAUCAAGUUAGUGAAGACACAUGUGCCCUCUACGUAUCAGGAAAAUCACCCUUUCUUAAUACUUUCAUGGUAUCCACUGGACUUGAUUCCAAGAUCUCCAAAGGAUACCAAAAUGUGUGGAUUUUCAAGACCCAUAAUGUACAGUGGCAUAGUGUAGUGAUGCCCAUUAUAUAAGAUGGCAAAACCAUAGGUCGCUUUUUGGUUGUUUUGUUUUAUGGAAUAUUUUCGACCUGUGGCUGGUUGAAUCUGUGGAUACAGAAUAUGUGAUUUGGGGGACCAGUUGUACUUCAAGUGCCCUUACGCUGUGUCAUAUAGCAUUGAUUUAUGGUUGAGAGCAGAAGUUGUGCAGAUCUUGCAGUCUUAUAAGUGCCUAGCUUGGACUGUUACUUUUGUUUUGAAUCUCUAUAAAUAAAACAGUGAAGUGGAAUGGUACACUCCCAGUUCAAAAUGAAAACUCUCUUUCAUUGUAUAGGCCUCCUUUCAGAACAGUUUCUAUUGUCUAUAACUGUAGAAAUUGGCUAAAAACACCUUUGGCAAAGGUGUGGUGGAGAGAAAAUACUGAAACAAAAGAAAGGUGGAUGUGUGAGUUUGUAAAGAGAAUGCAUCUCUCAUGAGACAUCCUUAUUUUUAAGAAGUAGGGAGAGUAGGGGAAAAAAGGUUCACUGAAAGAAGCAAACGUGCAGAAGUGUUAAAGCUGUAUUUGUUAGAUCUGUAAGAAUUUUUAUUGAAAUUGAAAGGACAUCUGCUAUUUUUUUGAAAAUAUCUACAAUGAUGCAUGGUAACCUUUUAGCCAACACAUCCAAUGAGCAACACAGAAAUGCACAUGUUAAGAUGAAUAAUGAUUUAAAAGUUUUCAUGCUGCAGAUAGAAAGGUUUGAUCAUAUAUUGUAUGUAUGUAUAUUAAAUAGUUGAGACACUGCAUCUUCAACAGAAUUGUAUAUUUGCAGGCUGGCUGGCCAAGCAGUAAGGCACAAUUUUUCAAAAACCACAACAAAUAGCCUGUAAGCUCUAGCAAUAAACUGCGAUAAUGGUGUUAAAUCAGGCAUGGGAAAACUUACAGCCAUCAGGAAUUGUGGGAGUUGAAGUCCAAAACACCUGGAGGGCCAAAGUUUGCUCAUGACUAUGUUAAAUAGACUGGGCAUUCAAAAAUUCAUAAAUGGAGAAAGAAAGAGGUACCAUUGCCAGUUCUGAAAAGCCUAGAAAAACUAUGUUUUUGAGGCUAGAUUUUAUAAUAAAAAGUUUUAAAUCCAUGAACAGAUCCAAACAAAAAAUCCUGAAACAGUAUAGUUAACUGUUAAAGCUAAUGUGUAAAUAAAUAGGUUCGAUUCAGAUUUGGUCAAGCUUCGAGCUGCCCUUUCGAAAUUAAUAGUCACUUCUCUCCCACUUUAUUGAUAGAUUGUGAUAGAAGAGGCAAAUUGAAUAUAAAUCAGUGAUUUAUAACAUUUUUUUAAAAAACUGGAAGAUUUUGGACUUACUCUUGGAGCCGUCAGCACUGUAUAGAUUAAGAAGGGAGCUAUGUUGUACAAUACCUAUUGAUGAUUACUCCCUUAAAAGUCUGGAUUAUUAAUGAUAGAUAAUGAAUUGGUUCUCUUUGUGGAUUCUAUAUAUAGGGAUUGAACCAUCAGAGUUUUGAACAAAGACAUAAGACCAGACCAGGCUCUUAAAUUCAGCAAACACUUGCUGACAGCCACAGAUGCAAAAACAUCCUUGCACUUGCCUUGAAAGGGGUCAUGGCUUUGCAUCUAUUUCAUGAUCGUGUUUCUUCAUGUCAUGCAGAAUGCUGCUUUCAAUCUACAGAUCAAUCAGCAGGGGUCAGGGGACUAUCUCCUUUUAUAUGAGCCCCCUCCUCCCUUUAUUUCAGGGUUGUGGAACAUGCAUUCCUUCAGAUAUUGUUGGAUUGCACAUUCCAUCUGCCCUAGUUGGCAUUAACACCUAGUUGGUGUUAAGAAAUGUCAGGACCAGAUAACUUCAUAAUAGCAGCAACAACAGUAGUGUUUGGUGACACAGGUGGAAGAUCUUUCAGAGACAACAGUCCUGCCAGUUUAGUCACACUUACUAGUACUGUGCAGAAAGAGGCAUUGCUAAGCAACUUCUGAAUGUGUUUACCAUGAAAAACUCAUGAUGAGACAAUUCAGAAUGAAACACUUCGUAUCAUCAUAUUCUGUCCUUCUCAAUUUUUAUUUCUUUCCGUCUCCCUCUUUGUUUCUUGUCUUCAUCUUUUGUGCUUAGUCUUUCUCUCAUUCUCUUUCCUUUACUCAUUCUUUUCUUUUCCUCUCCUUUGCUCGCCACACAUUCCUCUCUCACAUCUCCAAUUCCUCUCUUUAUUUCUUAUCCAAUUUUUUUUAAACACCUCUAGUGGAGAAUUUAUAAAAGAGAGAUUCUUCUUUCCAAGGAGCAACCCGCACUUGAAUAUCCCCACCCCAAUCCUUCAUUAUAAUUUUUAAGCCUCCUUUGGCAACUGCUUUGGCUGGAGAUCCCAGACACCAGCUGUAUAAUCAUCUUUACUAAAAGAAUUAGUUUUGAUUUUUUUUAAAUGGUAAAGAUGCUCUGUUCCAUAUUUUUAGUACAUGACUGAGUAGAUAACAUAAAACCCAAAAUUUCUUUGGAUUGUGGCCACAGAAGAUACAGAAAUAACAUUGCCUUACACAAAAGUUUAAAUCUGGACCAUUCCUUAAUUACAUGGAUCUAGAUGAUGCUUUAUCUGUUGAUUCCACAUUAUUUGAGAUGAUACAAAUAUUUCUGAGUAGUAGUCCUUUCCUUUGAGGAUGGAGCAUUGUUAUUUAUGAUUGUGCAAAAUCCCUCUGGUCACACAAGGCAGGGCAGUACCUCUGGUCCCUUUAUUUUCCUCCUGGUCCCAUUUGUUAGUUAUAAAGUGGACUCCUUCUUGACAUGCAAUUUAAAAGAAUUGAUGGCUUUUGAGAAGGCAGACCCCAGGAUAACAAAGGGCUCUGGCUAAAAUAUAUAGUUAUCUGACAAAUGUAGCAUUCCCAAGGACUGAAAUCAAGCAGUUUCAGCACAUUCCUCGCACAUUUCUCAGAUAUUCCCUUGUGACUCUUUAUAGAUUAACUCAGGUAGACAGAAGAGUGCCCAUAUACAUCACUCAGGUAGACACUUAGUACAAUUUUAGUUUUAACCCCAGGUAAGGAGAUAUUUCACUUUUGAUACAUUCCCAUCAUUUCAGGUUAAGAAACCAUUUCUGAUUAAUUCGCCAAGGAUCUAUUUUUGGGCCAUGUAACAAUGGAAUCAUAAACCAUUUGAAAACUAUUUAAUUUUUUAAUUUUGUUUCUUUAUUUCAACAUGGAUUCAUUAUGGACAUAUUGUAACAUUGAACUGGAUAAACAUGAAAUCAAUAAAGUGAUUCCAUGUUUCGGUUUCUCCGGACAUUAGUCUGAAUUUUAAAGGAGGUUUGUAAGGAACCAACCCUGAUUUGAAGUUAGUCGUAGGAUACCUUGGAGAGCUCCUUAAAAAUUCUGACUAUACCUUGUAAUGUAUUUACCACUCCAACCGCUCCCAAGAAACAAAUAAACCAGUGUCUGGUAUAUUAAAUCAUUCAAAGAAAUAUUAUCUAUUAGCUGAAAUGUUAAUGACUGCUAAUUAAAAUGAUUAACAAUCAGAACAUAGAAGCGAUGCUAUAUGUUAUGGUCACCAUGGGUGUACCACUGAAAUUGAUGAAUGAUAUGGCUUGCUAUUGUGAUGCACCACAUCAGCCAGCACUGCCAUUUUGGAUGGUUUCCAAUAUCUGGUAGUGGCAGCUGGUGAUGCUGAGUAGAAGGGAGGAAAUUUGCAAUAUAGUGAUCCUCUUGGGGUGCCUUCUUCAAUGUCACAGCAUUGUCUCUUUUCUUACUCCAGAAAGUAUAACAAUCUAACUCUGGUCCAAAAUAGCAAGAUGGUGCAUGAGGCUGAGAGCUCCUUCUCGUGUUAUCCUGUGAAGGUACCCUGACAUGCAUUCAUGAUUUGAAAUCAAAAUAUGUGAUGCACAUAAACACCCAGGAUCUUGGGAAAGAACAUCACCUUGGAUGCUCUGCUGGUGCCACUUUCUUUUUCAGAAGGACUCUACUUCUCCUACUUUGCUUUCUCCCUCUCUGCUGAGUUGUUCUGUUUCUUUUCCUGGGCCCCUGUGAAACUUCACCCACUAUCUUACCAGGUGGAAAAAGAAAUCAGCCCUUUUUCUUAUUUUGUUUUUUAAAGACAUUUAGUCGUUUGCACUGUACAGCAAAAUGCUCACUGGGGAGGCUCCAGCUCCAUGGCCUAUUUUUACUUCAGAGUGCCACAUGUGGCGUGACUAAGGGCAUGUUUGCACCACAUGUGGUGGAUAUAUUCAUAUGGAUAUAUCAGUUAUGGAUGCUUUAGGAUAUGGCCUGCACGUAUCCUAAGGAUAUGGCAUGCACGUAUCCUAAGGCAUCCAGAGAUUUGCAACCUGAUGAAAUAUUUAGAAUUUUCUGUUAGAGAGUUCUAGUGGCUUUUCUGCAUAAAAUUAAAACCACUAAAUCAGAGUUUCUAAAAUUUUGUAGCAGGGUACUUUGAUGGUUAAAGUGACGUGAAACUGAUUCAACUACAAAUGGGUGACAUGUGUUUGUUUUCAUGUGCCUUCAGGUCCCCUGUUGACUUAUGGGGAGCCCGUGAAUUUCAUAGGGUUGUCUUAGGCAAAGAAUACUCAGAGUUUAUUUUGCCAGGUCUUUCCUCAGUGGUUCUCAACCUUUUUUGACCAGGGACCACUUGACCAGGGCUCACUUGACCAGAGACCAUUUUGACCAGGGACCACUCUCCAACGUUAGUACCAAAAGACUUACAAAUCAGUUUUUGGUCAACUUUAGAUUUGGUUUGCUUAUUUGUGAUGCUGAUUCAGAAAAUGCAUUGGAUAGACCGUAUCAGCUCUAGUUUCUGAAACAGAACAUAUGCCAUCCAGUAGUCGGCAUCUGCUCACUCACAGAAAACCAUAUUUAAUAAUCUAGAGCUGAUGUGGUCAGCUUUGUGGAAAGCUCACUCACAGAAAACCAUAUUUAAUAAUCUAGAGCUGAUGUGAUCACCUUUGUGGAAAGGGGUGUAAAUAAAAUUAAUUAAAUAAAUAAAGAGUAAGGAGGUUCGCAGACUGGAUUUUCAUUCUCAUGGUCCACUGCUGGGCCAUGGCCCACAGGUUGAGAACCACUGAUCUAAAAUAUAGCCUACAAUAUGGCCUGGUAUUCAUUUGCAAUCUACUAUCCAAGACCUAACAAGGGCUGACCCUGCUUAGUUUCCAAAAUCAGAUGCAAUCUAAAAAUUAAAAAAAAAUGUUCUGAAAGAUAUAAGAGAUGUCAAUCCUAAUGUGUGAUUUGCCCACACCAAAUAUUGCCACUGUGAUUGUUUUUGCCAUCUUCUCUUUCAUCUGCCACCUUCUCUUUCAUGGGUCAUGGGGUUGUUUGGAACAGGGUUAGGAUGUCUUGUUCCCAAAGUCCAGUCUGAGCAGAGUCACAAGACAAUUUUAGCAGAUUUCUCAUCACUAUGGAAGAAGUCACCAGCAAAUAGGUUAUCCUCAUGAGACGGCUGUUCUGCAUUCUAUAUAAAGAACCCUUCCAAGGAGUGUCUGUAUGUUGUGGAAAUAGAUCAGCAUAUUAGGAAGGAGCAGCUUGGAUAGAAGCCCUUAAGACUGACUCAGGAACCCAUGUGGGAUCAGUGCCCAUCCUGAGAAUAGCUUUUAUGACUUUAAAGGCCAGCCCCACUCAGUAUUUAUUAGAUUUUCCUGUAAUGAUUUUACAGAAGGAAAAUACGUUAGUUUAGUUACAAUAAAACACAGUUAUGUUUUCAGAAUUAAAGGAGAUGAUGUUCUGCUGAGAGCACAGAAUAGUCCUCAUGUGGGAUUGUGAUUCUGAUUUGUGUUACUCUGAGCGUGUGGAACAAAAAUACAACUUUUCCAAGCUCUUGUUUCUGCUAAAACAGAAAACUAGGUAAGCCUGGUAGAUAGAUCUUCAUAGCCUUCUAAAUAGAAGCAAUGAAAUUCAGUACUAACUAAGCUACUGCAGUUCCAUGCACAUUAAAUAGAGAAAACUCGGGAAAGCAUUUUUCAAUAAUGACAGACUUUCGCUUUAAUCUUAAGUUCUCUGGCCUGCAAUCAAUUCUUUUUGUUUGUAGGAAUUUUUUAAUAGAAUUUCUUUUGCAAAACACAAUUGUUUUAAUGGAUUGUAGCCUAAGUAUACAGGAUCAGAACUUUAUUGAAAUCUGGCCUCAUGCUAUUUAUUCUUCUUUUCAUAUAUUGACAUGUUUUAGGUCCAAUUCCAUUUCAGAGGCUUUGAGAAGUUUGCAUGUAUAUUGAAAGUUUAUAUUGGAAGAGGACAUGGUAUUAGAUAAAUAGAGACUUAGUUGUAAUUUAAAAUGUGUUUGCAAGUUAUGGUUACUGAAGACUGAUUGAAGUGCUUGUUAGAUACACUUUGGAUACCAGGAAAGUUGUAAUAUGGUACACAUUGAGUAUCCAUUAUGUGAAAUGUUUGGGACUAGAAGAGUUAAGUAUUUUGGAUUUUUUUAGAUUUGGGAAUAGUUGCCUAAACAUAAGGAGAAACUCUAAACGCAAAAUCCAUUCAUCUGUCACAUGCACCUUAUACACAUAGCUCAAAGGCAAUUUUAUACACAAUAUUUGUAUUAUUUUUUGCAAAUAAAACAAAGUUUGUGUACACUGAACCAUCAUACAGCAGCCAUCCACAUGAACAAUUUUGUUUUUGAAGUAUUUGAAUUUCAAAAGCCCAGAUAAGGGAUAGUAAGUUAAAGGUAAAGGUUUCCCCUGAGGUUAAAUCCAGUCGUGUCCGACUCUGGGGGUUGGUGCUCAUCUCCAUUUCUAAGCCGAAGAGCCAACGUUGUCCGUAGACACCUCCAAGGUUAUGUGGCUGGCAUGACUGCAUGGAGCGCCGUUACCUUCCCGCCGGAGCGGUACCUAUUGAUCUAUUCACAUUGGCAUGUUUUUUAAUUGCUAGGCUGGCAGAAGCUGGGGCUAACAGUGGGCGCUCAUUCCGCUCCCCGGAUUCGAACCUGCAACCUUUUGGUUCUCAAGUUCAGCAGCUCAGUGCUUUAACACACUGCGCCACCGGAGGCCCCUAGAUAAGGGAUACUCAACCUAUAAUACUUUUAUAAUAUGAAACAUCUAAGAAGCUUUGGGAGUAAUUAUGAAAAGAGCUUAUUAUUAUUGUGGCCUUGAAGAAAGUUUGGGUUGAUCAUUGCAGAAGAAUUUGGUAUCCUAUUAGCCUCAAAGUAAAGUGAUUGAGAUUUAUUUCCUUUCUAUUGUUUAUGUGAAACGAUUCUGCAGUCAACUUUAUAGCAGUGAUAUCAAUAAAAACAUUAAAACUUUCUGUUCUUGUUUCUGGAAUUACAAUAGAGAGAUGAUGGUUAGAGCCUCCCAGACAAAGAUCUGUAUUGUCAUCACCCAAACAACAGUGUUCUCAUAUAUUUCCUUUUUUCCGGGGCCUGUCAACAUGAAAUAACCCUCUCUACUGAGCUCAAGAUACAAUCAAGCCAUUUGUUAGCAAACCCUUACAUCCCGAGACUGUGUUACUGUAUUGACCUAGUCUAUGAUAAGAUGGAGAUUAUAAAAAGGUCAUUCUUCUGAUGUCUGAAUAGCAUGCUUCAAAGAAUAGUAGGAUAGGCUGCAUCCUUGAGGCCCUGAUUAAGAUCCCAACUACACUACCAUAUAAUGCACUUUGAAACUGUAGUAUAUGGUCAGUGUAGACUCAGAUUAUGCAGUUCAGUGCAGUUAAACUGCAUUAUAUGAAUCAACACUGCAUUAUAAGGCAGUGUAGAUGGGGCCCAAGUUGACAACUGCAAAGAAUACUUGGCUAAAAAACCAUAAACCGGGUGCUGGUGAAGUAAAUUAACUAGAAAUUGAAAUGAAGCUGCUGGUUAACUUGUCUGUUCAGAAAAGAAUAAUAGAAAUAGGAAUCUUAAAGGCCGAAGUCCAAUCCUCUGCUUAAUUGAGUCAACUCAGUAAAAACAUAUCCAACUGGUAGCUGUCCAAAGAAAUAGACCUUAUCACCUCUAAUAACAACAACAACAACAAACAACUUUAUUUUCUAUCCCACCUCCAUCUCCCCGUAGGGACUCGGGGCGGCUAACACGGGGCCAAGCCCAAAAACAAAUAAAAGCACAAUAAAAUACAGGUAAAAACAGCAUCAAUAAUCAGGUAAAACACAUUAGACCGGAUGAUACAAUCCAAUAACAAUACAAUCACUGUAAAAACCAAUUCUAAAAUGUGGUUUUAAAGUGGAAUAAAAUGGGAGGACGGUCUAGGCAAAAGUGCAGCAAUGUAUAUUAUAGUGCCAUAUGGAGCAUAGUAGAACAAAGUGCUCAAACAUUCUCAGGAGAAUUGGAGUGAGGGAGGACUUCAAAUUAUUUCCAGGGAAGAGUAAUGUAAAGUGCGAGAUAUAGUGUAAUCGUUUGAAUAUAGAUUUGAUCAUGGGGACUAGAUUAUUCAAAAGCGCACUGGAAGAGCCAAGUUUUUAACCUCUCUAUAAUUAGCUCAAUUGUUGAACAUUUUUAAAAGCAAUGCUUUUGGGUUGGAAAGAUUAGCCAUUUACAAGAAACGUUGCUCAGGUUUACAAGAACCUGAAGCCUAACCCUGCCAAGACACAAGUGUGUGCUUUCCACCUACGUAACCGUGAAGCCAACAGGAAACUGAAAGUUACUUGGGAAGGCCAAGAGCUCAAACACUGUUUCCAUCCUAAAUAUCUUGGUGUCACCUUAGAUCGAACACUAACAUAUAGGAAACACUGCAUGAACACCAAGCACAAAGUAGCUGCACGCAACAACAUCCUGCAGAAACUUACUGGCAGUGCAUGGGAUGCAGACCCACAAUUAAUAAGAACAUCAGCCCUGGCCUUGUCUUACUCAGCUGCUGAGUACGCUUGUCCUGUCUGGCACAAGUCUGCCCGUGUGAAGCAGGUGGACAUAGCACUGAAUGAAACAUGUAGAAUAAUCACAGGAUGCCUUAAAGCUACACCUGUUGAUAACCUCUACAAGUUAGCUGACAUUGCCCCCCCCCCCCCAAUGUGCAACAGGAAGUUGUUGCUAACUGUGAGAGAAAUAACGUUGAACUUUGCGAAAGCCAUCCACUGCAUGACUAUCAGCCUCCUCCCAGUAGACUUAAAUCAAGGAAAAGCUUCAUGAGAACCACCACUCCUCUUGAUGUUCCUCCAGCAGCAGCAAGGGUGUCGCUCUGGGCAGCUAAACCUGGCAAUUCCAACUGGUUUCCAGGGGCAAACCAAGAAUGGGCAACAUGGAAGUCCCUAAACAGACUCAGAAGCGGAGUGGGCAGAUCAAAAGACAACUUGGCAAGAUGGCACUACCUGGAGGAAUCUUCCACCUUGUGUGACUGUGGAGCAGAACAAACAACUCCGCAUAUGUAUGCUUGCCCACAACAUCCUGCCUCAUGUACGGAGGAGGAGUUGUUUAAAGCUACAGACAAUGCGGUCACUGUUGCCCGCUUUUGGUCUAAAACUAUUUAGCUGCUUGUGAUUCCUUUAUUUUAUCACUUUAAAUAAAUAACUGUUGAACAUUCCUUCUACUAUUCAAUCAAAAUCUACCGUACUGAAACUUAAAUAUAUUAAAACUGGUACUAAGGCAGCAGAAUAAAUCUACUGCCCAGCUUCUUCAAUCUUCCCUUUAUGUUUUGUUCUGAGUUCCUCUUACCAUCCAUGUUGCCCUUCUCUGAAGCUGCUCCAAUUUGUGUAUAUCCUGUGCUUCUAUUAAUACAGGCUACAAUAUUUUUUGGCAUCUUUGCUGAAGCAUCACACAACUGGGUCAUUUUCAACUUAUGAUCCACAGUAAUUCCAAGGUCAUUUUUACAUACACUGCUGUUUCGCCAAGUAUCUCCCAUCCUGUAAAAUGUGUGCUUGGCUUUUGUAGCCUAAAAUGGCAGGGCUCAUAUCUGCUAAAGAGUUAUAACCAAAAGUAAAGGAGAGCAGAAUGGUGAAGUAGUUUGAGUAUUGGUGUAGGAGUCUGAAAAAUCUUGGCUGAGCUUUAGAAGCCCAUUAGAGUAGCCUUGGGCAAAUCAUGUUCUCAGCCCAAGAGGAAGAAAACUGCAAACCCUCUCUGAAUUGCCUAGAAAACCCUAUAGUUAUAGUCACAACAGUCAGAAUCAUCUUGAAGGCAUGUAACAACAACAAAAAUGAGCUUUAGUAGCUUUAGGCUAUAAAACAGAGGAUGGGGAGGAAGAAAAAUAAAGUUUCUUGCUUUUUUGUUCAGUUGGGUUUUUUAGAAUCUAGAAAUAUUUUUCCUAUUUCUAGUUACAUUUGCAAAUACAGCAGAGUCUCACUUAUCCAAGCUAAACGGGCCGGCAGAAGCUUGAAUAAGCGAAUAUCUUGGAUAAUAAGAAGGGAUUAAGGAAAAGCCUAUUAAACAUCAAAUUAGGUUAUGAUUUUACAAAUUAAGCACCAAAACAUCAUGUUAUACAAUAAAUUUGACAGAAAAAGUAGUUCAAUAUGCAGUAAUGUUAUGUUGUAAUUACUGUAUUUAUGAAUUUAGCACCAAAAUAUCACGAUAUAUUGAAAACAUUGACUACAAAAAUGGCUUGGAUCAUCCAGAAGCUUGGAUAAGCGAGGCUUGGAUAAGUGAGACUCUACUGUAUAUGGAUACUUUUUAACUUUAUUUACCCAUACAAUUGAAUCCUGUUUUGAGUAAAUGCUGGUGUUAAUCCCAUUGAUUCAUGGAUCUAUUCUUGCUGGAACUAACAAUAGGAUUUAGGCCAUAAUUGCAAACAGUAGGCUGGAGUGAAGUAUGAUUAGCAAUGCAAAUAUAACAUUUCGCCAUGGCUGGCAUUUUUUAUUUGUGUGCAUUUUAUUUGGAUAGCGGCAUCUGAACUGAAUAUUCAUGUGAAAUUAGAAAUAUAUGUUCAAGACAGAAUGGUAUAUUAGAGCCAAUGCUAGUUUGACUUACUCUCUCAGCUUUUCCUUGGGCAAUUGAAUGCAAAUAUAUUGUAAUGAAAUGCUUGUCCUUAUUGAAAUAGAAGUUGAUGGCUACCUUGAAGACACUGUUUUCUGACAACAACAGCUCUAAACCUGAUACCUGUUUAAUGGACUCACAAAAGAUGCAUAAUAUACUGUAUUAAAAAAAUCUCCCUUGAAAACUGUAAUGUCAGAGUAAAAAUCAUGUGUAUGUUGAAAACACAGUUUAUGUUUCAACAUCUCUGCAGUCCCUGUUUCCUUUUAUCCAAGGGAUGGCGAAGAAACAUCAUUUAUUAUAAAAUGAUAUAAAAUAUUAAUUUAAUUUUAAUAUGCCAAGGGCCAUAGAACAGUGUAUGUAAUUCUGUUUUUCCUUUCCUGUCAUUUUAUCCUGUUAAGAGAAACUCUGUAAUAUAGGUUUGGUUCAAAAAGAAUGAUUAACCCAAGAUCUUCCAGUCUGAGAGUCAGUGUUCGAUUGCUCAAUUGACUAUGGAAACCAACUGGGUGACCUUGGAUAGGCCACACUCUCUCGGCCCCAGAAAACCCCAUGAUAUGAUCAUCUUAGGGUUGUCAUAUGUCAGAAAUGACUUGAAGGCCCACAACCGUAAGAACAACUCCUAAUUUGCUUGAGAGUUAUGAACCAAAGUUAUCUACACCACAUUGGCUUUGUAAACCUUUGCUUCUUUAUGUACAAACUCUACCUGACACAUACUUCUGGGGAUUAUUAAAAAUGUUUGCGGUUGAUGGUCCCGCAGUAGCAGUUCAUGUAGGUCAAUUGAAUAUGCUUCCAGUUGGUGAAAUGAAUUUAGUAAGAGCCAUGCUGUACUGGAGCAAUGGCUUAUCUAUUCUUGUAUUAUGUUAAUUCAAAGUGUGGCCAUUCACAUUCCUAUGAAAAGCCCACUCUCUGGAGAUUUGGCUAAUUUAUCCUUUGUUCUACUUUGAUAGACAUUCUAAUGGGAACGGUGUGUUGCUGGAUAUUUCUCAAGCAAAGCACACUGGUUAGCUAUAAAAAGUCCCUUUGUUGCUAGUUCUAGCAUAUCUAUACCCAGUAGUUUCCAACAGAAAUGUAAUGGUAUACCUGUACAAUUAUACAUUAAUAUGUUUGUCUGUGAUUUUCCAUGUUUUGCAACUGCAGGUUGAGCAUCUCUUGUUUAGAAUUUGAAAAAAUCCAAAAUAUUCUAAAUUUGUUCAUAUGGUAACUGAGAUAGUCACAUCUUUGCUUUUGGAUGGUUUGGGGGUACAUUAAGUUUGUUUUAGGCACAAAAUCAUUUAAAAUAUUACAUUCAGUGUACGUAUAUGAAAUUGUACAUGAAUUUCAUGUUCUGACUUGGGAUCCAUUUCUAAGAUAUCUCAUUAUGUUUGUAUGUACAUGCAAAUACAGAUAUUCCAAAUUCCCCCCCCCCCCCAAAAAAAUCCAAAAUUCUAAACAGUUUGGAUCCCAAGCAUUUCAGAAAAAGGAUGCUGAGAUUUUACAGAGUGCAACGUAUGUGUUCGUAAUUAUAUACGGUUUGGAUUGUCUUUAGGUCUUUACUGGUAAUAGGAAAAUAAUAAGGGAAUUCAUUGUUGUAUAUAUCCCACACAUUUUCUUUGGAUCCUUCCCUGAGGGCUAUAGCUGCAUUUCUGGCUGUUUAUACGGCUAAAUGUAACCUUGGCAUUUUGGGCAGCUUUACCAGCAGCUUGGGAAUUCUGUCAAAAUGAGCUCUUCAGCCUGUGGAAACUCAUCUCAAAUAGUUGCCUAAUAUUCUAAGCAGAUUCUGAUACACUAAAGCCACUUCAUUUUUAAUUGGAUCAUCUGGAAUUAACAGUUGUGGCUAUACCUCAGUUACAUUGCUAUAUUAAUUAAAUUGCUGGAUGGCAUAUUUUCACAAUUUGAUGGACAAGCCACUGUUUUUCCAAUUUGAUGCUCUCUGUAACUUCAGGUACCUUAAUUUUUCAAAGGCAAACUGAAUUUUUUGGGUGAAUUAAAUGCUUUCUGUUUUGUUCAUCUGGUUAUUUGCCCCUCUUUCCCAAACGCACCUCAAUUUUAUAACAUUUAAAUCACUAUGCUGUGAAAUACAUGUAUUUGAGUCCAUGUUUGAAAAUAAAAAGCUGUUACUAGUGGGAAAAAGCCAGUUUUAAUGGAGCUUGAUACAUUAUGGGCUUUUGGCAUUUGAUAAAAGCAUUUCAACAUCUAGGGUUUUGACUUCUUCCUGCUUAGAAUGUGAGAAAUCAUAACAAAUCUGAAAAUACUUUUUUUUAAAAAAGUUGUAUUUGUUGGUAACCAAAGCUGUCCUUUCUGCUCACUCAAUAGUAGAAUCCAAUGUCAGAAGAGAGGCAUAAUCUUCCCUUAUCAUUGCCCUUCCUAAGCAUCCCAAAAACUUUCCUGAAGCCUUGUACAAUCUCUGCAGGGAAGGCUGGGGGACGAUUUUUAUAGUACUGAAUACCAAAGCCAGAACAUCAUAUUUACUAUGUGAAAGCUGGAAAGUGAGGAAGAAAAUAAGCUAAUCACAAAUGUAAUGUUGGAGGAGAGUACCGUGAAUAUCCUGGACUGACAAAAAGAUAACUCAAUGAGUCCAAGAGCAAAUUGUGCCUAAAUUGUCCCUGGAAGCCAAAAUGACUAAACUGAAACUGUCAUACUUCGGAUGUGACUCAUUAGAAAAGACAAUAAUGCUUAGUAAGAUAGAAGGCAUAGGAAAAGAGGAAGACUGCACUGGCGAGACUCAAUCAAGGAAGCCAAGCCCUGAGUUUCCAAGUCCUAAACAAGUCUGUUGGCAACACAAUGACUUGCAGGUAUCUCAUUCAUAGGGUUGCCAUAAAUCAGAGCUGUCUCGUCUGCAGUUAACGACAAAGAUUGGAGGGCGAGGAAUCCAAUAUUCUAAUAUAUGUUGGAUUUAGACUUGAAAUAUGCCAAUAAACAUUCAAAAACACCAAAAUGGAAUGCACUAGCACUUUUGAGAUUCACUGGGAAGAUUUUUUUUUUAUGAAUACAGUCCAAGUACAUGCAAGAAAUUUCUUCCCAGUGAAUCUCUAAGUUGUUAAUGGAUUCUUUCAUAUCUUUUUAGUUAGGUAUUAUAAGCCUGAAAUAAACAGGGCACCAACAUUUGUAAAAUGUCUCUCCUUUCAACACUUUAAGGCUUGUAGAUAGCGAUGUCCUUGGUUGCCUGGAGUAAUGCAGUUAUUAUUCCAGGCAACCAAGGACAUCGCUACCUUCAAGCCUGCCUUCUAACCACAUAAAUCUGGUUUCACUUAGUUCUAAAGACUAGAUGCUACAAUUUCAUCCCUAUGUUGACUUCAAUUGGUCUCUGUUGUAAUAUUCUUUUAAUUCCUCUUCCUGAUGAACUUGUUUUUAUUAUUGCUUUGGCAUAUCUUAUGUUUUUAUCCUACCCCUAUGCUAUGCUGGAGUGUGUGGCACCAGUUGUAUCGGUGAUAAUCCAAUCUGGAUAGCCUGUUCUGUACCAUGGCCAUGUUCAGUGCAACCUCCCCAUCUGUAUGACCAGUACUUGCAGUUUCAUUUAUCAAUGUCCAACAAAAUAUAUACUCUCUAGGCAUUUUCUAGAUCCUCCAACACCACUCUGUGGAAUCCUUGGACCAGAGGUACUUCAUUCCAAUAGAGUUUGCUGUUAUUUAUGGCUUCACAUAUCCAUAUGGUGGUGAACAUGUAGUAGCUGUAUUGUUAUACUUGUCUGUGAUUCCAUGUGUCUUCCUAUUUUCUUCAUAGCAGGACACAUUUGUUGAUGAGAAUUGUUGGAUACGAGGCAAUAUUAUGUUCCAAUUGCUGAUUAUCUUUUUGAUAGCUAUCCGUAACAGAUGCUGAAAAAAAUAAAAUAAAACUGGAAAACCCCAAAAUGGAUGAAUUUGGGGAAAGUCAGUCUCUAGAGUAUAUUUAGAAGUUAUAACUAAGAAACCUUGUUUAAGCAUCCUUCCCUUCCACUUGCUGAUUUUUCCUUUUCCUCUUGCUGUGUUCUUAUUAUCAUGACCAACAUCAGGGCAGAACUGUGACUUUCCUGAGAUAACCUCUAUAGUUUCAUUCUCAUAGUUCACUUUGGAUGAGAACAGGUUUAAAUUUGCCUAUGAGAGAUAAUAAUUUGAAAUGGCUGUUGCUAAUUGAGAACAAGGUAUAAGAUGGAUAAAAGCUGGAUUCAUCAACCAAGUUUUGCAGGUCAAAGACUACAAAGGAGUGUAGAUAGCAGUUUUAAUUACUUGGGAGCAAAUUGUUGGACAUAGUAGGUAGGAUUUCUAAAUAAACAAAUAUAGGAUUCCACUCUUGUCAUCCUUUUCAGCUAUGAAUUCUAGAUACGGCCAACUAAGGCUAAACUGUCUGUGUAUUCAGAUGACAGCUGGCAACAGAUGGUGGCACCUGAUCAUUGGCAGCAGGAAGAUGUUGCAGACAGACGAGAUGGAGAGGCAGGCUAAAAGGAGAGAGGUGAGACAGACAGAUAGAUAGACUAGAUGAGACAUCAGAUUCGGUUGCCUGUAAUUGGAUUGCCUGUCUCCUCACACUUACUGGAGAAACCAUCACAUGCAGGGAAAAGGAGGUUUAGCCUGGGACUACAGUGCUAGAAUGUAUGGUACAAUCCUCUCGUCAUUUAAAUUCCCUUUCUUAAGUUCAUUGUUGGAGAAAACCUAACAGGCACCUACACUUUUUACACACGUAUGGAAGAACUGGCAGCAAAUAAAGAAUGUCCUGAAUGAUAAGUGAAUGAUAAAUUCCAUUUUCUUGGAUUCUACAGCACUUGAUAACCUCUGUGUCUGACUGAGCCUCAGUUCAAAUCUGUGCAAUGCAGCUGAAUUUCAAUUCCUUCCCUUAAAAAACGUUUCCUUUAAAAUGUUUUGUAAAGUAAAAGAAAUAUUGGUAAGGGAAGAGGAAGAAAGGGUUCUUACACUAAAUGUAUGGGGACCAAAAUAAGUGAGAUAUUCUGUGUCACAGAAUAUCAAAGUACAAGGAUCAAAAUAAACAAAGGAAAGCCUUCUGAAUAAUCUUUGUAUCAUUCUCCGAUGGGCGGUAUCAGCAUGACUGUUGACACAAGCAAAAAAGAAAAAAAAUCUCUUGUCAAAAUGUGUCUUAUUUCAUUUAUCUUUUACAUAAAUGGAAGUCAUGGGUGCAUCACAUUUUCUGAUACUUACAAAGGGGAGUGGAUGAAUACAAGAUGAGCAUGCCUUAUCUAAAAUGCUAGGAACCAGAAGUGUUUUGGAUUUCAGAUUUUUUUUUCUUAUUUUGGAGUACCUCUACUUGCAUACACAUACAUACAUAAUGAGAUAUCUUAGAGAUGGGAUCCAAGUCUAAACAUGAAAUUUGUUUCUUUCAUAUACACCAUAUACACAUAGCCCAAAGGUAAUUUUCUCCAAAAUAUUUUAAAUGAUUUUUUUUGUAUGAAGCAAAAUUUGUGUACACUGCAUCAUCAUAAAGCAAAGGUGUUACUAUCUCAACCAACUCUGUAAACAUUUUUGAAUUUUGGAAUUCCGGAUAAGUCAUGCUCAAUCUCUUAAUACUAGACUUGGGUUGAAAGUGAUGUCUUUGCAUGAUACUUCAAAAAAAUCAAACACAGUUUUCUUCAUAUAUAAUUAAUGAUAAUUAGAAAAGAUUAUGGUGCUUGGUAAAGUGGAAGGCACUAGGAAAACAAAAACAGACUACAAGUGCAUUCAUUCAAUCAAGGAAGCCCCAGUCCUGAGUUUCCAAGAGCAGAGAAAUUGAUGACCAGGGCUUUUGGAGGUCUCUUACUGAUAGUCACUUUGACAGAAAACAACAACAAAUAAUUAAUGAAGAAUGUGCUUAAAUAAUACAUGUUUUCAGGACAGAUAGUAAUGGUCUGCUAAAAGACAUAGAUGGCAAUCCUGUGCUCAACUGUGGAGUGACUUACCUCUCAACUCGAAUCCCAAUGUCAAGGUCAGACCUAAAGAUAGAAAGCGUUUGACUAAAAGAGUUAGGAAACAUGUGGUCAUCCAGAUAUCAUUGAUACAUGAGAAUCGCAGACUGAGAAUGCCUGAGAAUCGCAGACAGGCAUUCAGCUGAUUAAGACUGCUUCCAUGAGAAAUUCUAGGGAGUCAUGCAUCUGGACACAGAGAUUGACUUUCGGUUCUGAUUCCCCAGAGAAGUGUUCUUUGGUGGGAAAACGAGACCCUAUUUAGGUUCCUUGCCCCGAAGGAAUCUUGCGGAGUCAAUUCGUCAGCUACUGGAGUAGGCUGUGUGUGGACAGCGCUAUUCCCGUUUCCAAGCCUCGUUCCUGUUUUCAAGCCUUCAUUCACGUUUCCAGCCUUGUUUCUGUUUCACGGACCUUGCCUUGCUUCCCGGACCUUGCCAAGUAAUUACCACGGAUCUUGUCCCUGUUCCUCGUUCCUUGUUGCCUUGAAUCAAGCUAUUUCCUUGCCUUGCCUAAGUUUCAUGGACUAAAGGACCUUGUCAUCUCCCCUCACUUUGCUUGGCAAAGUGAGUGUUUCGGUUACUGGAUUACAACUUUGGACCUUACUAUUUCAUAUUGGACAUUGUUUUCCUGGACUAUAUUUGACCUUUCCUGAAAGGACAUCUUCUGAACUAUAUUCUACACUUAUUUUUAUUGCCUUUACUUAUUUCCUUAAUAAAGAUAUUAGAUAGAUUCUGGCCUCUGUGUAUGGUUAUUGGUGCUCUGCAGCCUGGGUCGUGACAGUUAGCUUGAAGAUUUAUUCUGUAUGUGUGUGAUAAAAUAUGCAAACUGAGCAAGUAUUGCUUAGGCAAUAUUAUUCCAAAAUGGGAAAAAUCUAGCAAUUGACUUCUGUUGCCAGAACAGCCAAUCUAGGAGAACCAGGGGGCUUUAGCCUCUUCACGAACUCCUAAAUUAGUCCUUGAAACUCAGAUCACCUCUGGAGUCUCUCGCAGGGUGUGGUGGAGGGCUGCAUUAGAGAGGGAACAAAAGUUCGAAUAGUUCUAUUAGUGGAUUGAUGCUUUUAUCUUAAUAUCAACAUACCCGAAUUGACUUCUGCAACCUUAAAAACACUAAAUAUUUGGGUGUAUUUUGUUUUUGAGUUAUGAUAUAAUUUACUUUGGAUCCCAUAUUGGAAGGAAGGUGGGAUGCAAACUAAAUAAAACAAUAAAUUGAUUCUUUUCUCAUAACCACUUCCUCCAGUGAAGGAAAAAUUAUUAUCCUUAAGAGUUCUUGGGAGAAAACCACAUUGCGUAAAAGUUUACUAUAGUACAGCAUGACCCCUGUAUCCGCUGAGGAUAUGUUACAAGGCCUGCCCACCCCUUGUGGAUAAUUGAAAUGGCAGAUAAUAGUGCACACUAUAUUUUGACUAUACCUAGAAUGAAAGCAUACUAUAGGAUAGUACUGGAGGAACUAGAGAAGUCCACAGAUAUUUCCAGGAUGGGAAUUUUUGGAGCUUGGGUAAGUGAAAGUGUAUAUUGAGCCCACAAAUAAGGAGGUCAUAUUGUGCUACUGUUAAAAUACUUAAAGACUAAGACUGCUGUUGCAUCUUAAAUACUGGAGGCUGCAUGAACAUUGUCUUGGAAGGAUCUCACAAGUUAACUCUAGAGAUCUACUGACCAAGCCUGUUUUCCCCCCUUAAGCCGCCAAUACAUUGUUAUUAUCUCUUUGAUCCCAACAGGAUACAAGAAACACUGUUUUCCUCUUCCAAAAGUGAUAUUGCCAAGCUAGUUUGCCAUGAAUUAUAAAUGCUCAGUGGUUAUUGCUUUUCUUCCCUUAAUUUCUUUUCAUUACAGAAUGUCCAUUGUCUGGAGCAUUCGCUUAUCUCCUGUGAUUCUGCCCUGAUCUUGUAAACAAGCCCCUCUCUGUGCUUUUGAAAUAAAGCUUGCAAUCAGUGUUUACAUGGCAAUCUUAUUCAUGUCUCCUCAAAAUUAAGUACCAAUGAAUUCAGCAGGGUUUACUCUUAAAUAAAUAUGUAAGAGGUUGUAACUGUAUUUCUCAGAAAAAUCCUUUUCAUUGGCUCUUUUCUAUUCAGUAUUGUGUGAUCAUGACUAUUUUAUUUAUUUAUUUAUUUAGUUCUGAUAUUUCUACCCCACCCUUCUCCCCGAGGGGACUCAGGGUGGCUUACACAACUGGCAGGAUCACUACCAGUAUAUCAUAAUACAAUAAAAUGAUACAACAAUUAAAAUAGUUAAAUAACAUAGUAAAAUACAAUAUAUAAAAGAUUUAACACAGGUCUGUAGUGUUAUGUGUUCUGAAUGAAGAAACAGAUUGUGACCCUAAAUGCUCUUCUGUUGUCAGUUGAAUGUUUACUAAUGUAUUGGCGCCAGUUUAGAGACGUGUGUUUUGAAAGUCUCUUGCUGGCUUUGGUAUGUAGCCACCAUCAUUGACUCUUCAAAUAUCGCAGACUUCAGCUACGCUGUGAGCCAACAGUAUUAUUAUUAAGAUUUCAGAAGUAGGAUUCCUCAUGCCAGAGCCAUCAUAGCCAAAGGAAUGCUCGGUUCCAACAACAUUUGCAUGGCCAUAGGAUACCUUACAUCUGUGAUAGAGAAUGGAUGCUGACCUGAGGUGCCUUUAGAACAGGCAUGGGUAAACUUCAGCUCUCCAGAUGUUUUGGAUUUCAACUCCCACAAUUCCUAACAGCCGACAGGGUGUUAGGAAUUGUGGGAGUUGAAGUCCAAAACACCUGGAGGGCCAAAGUUUGCCCAUGCUUGCUUUAGAGAGAUGCUGAAAAUGCCACAUGGAAAGAGGAUGUUUUGAAAGACUGCAGUGACCAAGCAUCCAAGAGGAAUGGAGGAAAGCUAGUGACUUUUUGAAUACUUGACAUAUAAGAUUGUCCAUGGAGAAUUUUAUGGUGAUUCUAGCCUUAGAAAAGCUCAAUGGGCAUCCCUGGAGUUUUCUGACAGGAUGGUCCAGGGCUUUCACUGUAAAUAAUUAGAUUCCAGUUUAUUUUUAUUUAAACCCUGCCGUGCAUAGUUGGCAAAGAGAACAUAUCAGGUGCACAAAGAAUUUGACUGUUUCUGAACAGGCAAAUUAUACAGUCUCUUGACCUGAUUUCUUAAAAUAAAAUUUUGCAUACAGAUCCAAGAGCUUGUCAUUAAUAAGCCUAACAAUUUGAAUUUAAUCAGAACCUUUCAUUGUAAAUGUAAUGCACAGCAAGAAAUGGCAUCUGGCUCUAAAUAUUAAAAGUUAUUCCGCACUCCCUCUAUUUAGAGCACAUUAAGGGUGCCUUCCAUAUGCACAUAUAUUAGGGAGUAAUUCAGAUUGAACACUGCAGGAUUUCUUCUUAAGCAACAAACAAACUUUUUUUCUGUGCUAAGCUUUGCAAAUUGUGCAUUAUAUAUUUGUCAGCCUCGUGAUUUAAGCCUUAAAAGUUUAAGAAAUACAGGAAAUUAGAAUUCGAUUUAAAGCUCCAAGUGCCCUCUAAACUACUGUUUAUUUCUUAUCAUCUUUGACACUGUGUAGAAUGGCAGUGAGCUUUGAUGAAUGCUAUUAAUGUGCAUAUAUCCAGAAAAUUUCACUUGCUAUUGUAAACUUACUAAAUUUGAGCAUCCACAUUUACACUCAGUUAUCUUGCUUUCUUGCUAUUUAUAAUAUUGACAGAAAUGCUUCCACUAUCCCUUGGAAAGAUAUCUGGGAUUCAUGACGGUGAAAUACUCUCACUUCUGGAAAGUUCAUUAAGUGAUAUUGAGAUACACAUGCUGGUAACAUAUUCAGGUUAGCUGUGUUUCACAGAUAGCAAAAACAACAAAAUACACAAAGCAGGAAAACCUUUAGUUGGCCACUUUCAAAUCACAAAAUACAAGAUUUCAAAGCUUUAUUGUCUUUUUUAUCAGGUAAAUAUGAUUUAAAAAAAACAUACA